rnacentral:lncRNA from 1 species
AGCAAGUGUGGGAGCAGUGGAGGCACUCAAGGAUCAGGGCUUUUGCAGAUGGAAUUACACCAUGAGGUCUAUUCACCAGCAUGCCAAGACCAACCUCAGGUCCUUUUCUCGGGCCAAGAAGCUCUCUUCUUCCUCUUCUGCCAUGGUUUCUAGCAGAGUGAGAGAUGAGAAGGCAAAGCAGUCAGAGGAGUCCUUGAGGACUGUCAUGUACCUGAGCUGCUGGGGGCCCAACUGAGGAAUAAGAUCUGGCCGGGUAUGAAGAUGAUGAUCAUCCUACCACUGAAUCAUCCAUGGAGGGCAUAUCCCAAGAAAGUGAUGAGAACAAUCUUAGUUCCCUACUUCGCUCUCUCAAGCUAAGAGCCUCUCUUCUUUUUCUUCUUCUUCUGAUAAGACGGGUGCAAACAAUGGCGGGGAAGAUGAGAAAAGGAAGAAGAAGACACAGAAAACAUUGGGAAAAGUCAUGUACUUGAGCUCCUGAGUCCCCCGUGAAGCAAUGGAUAGAGAUUUUGGGACGUGAUGCAAGAGUGAAAAAUUUGUAGAGAACCGCAGAUAGAUAUGAUGAUAUUGAUUUCAAUGUGUACUUCCAAAAAAAUGAUAUCAAAUUUCAGAUUUAUUAUCAUAAUAUUGUGUUGCCUUUCAUCAUUUUUGCCAUGGGAGUUGUUGGUUUUCGAGAGGGUUAGAAACUAAUUCUAUUUCGGAAAAAAGGAAUCACCAUCUUUGAGCAGUUCGAAAUUGCCCAGAUCUAAAAAAGACCUCGAUAAAAUAUAAAAAUGUUGCGCAGCUUGAGAUAUUUUUGUUCAUGAUUUGAUAGUCAUUUUUAAAAACGUUUUUAUUAUUUUUAAUAUUUAAAUGACAUAUAUUAAAAAAUUAAAAUUUUUUUUUCAAUUACUAAACAUUUCCUAAAAUUAUUACCUUUUAAUACUUCUUGAGCCCUCUCCUAUACUUCUUUUUCUCAAACAGUCUUUCUCAAUUCCGUCCUCGAUCUGAAAGAAUUUUAGCUUCUUUGAGUCUUACAAAAUAGAACAAUCAAAGCAAGAUCCGUCAUUUAGACACUAGGCUCAAAGGUUUCAUUAACAAACGAUACACCCCGACAAUCAUUUCUCCUCUUAUGAGUCAAAUUCAUAAUUUUACCUAUUAUUAGACAUUUCAAUUAAAAAUGAUGAAUAAGUGAUAUAAGUGAUAUAGUUAAAUUAAAUCUUUUAUGAUAUUUGAUAUCUUAUAUUAAAAAUUAGUUGACUUAUUACACUUUUAUUUGGGUUUUAAAAAGGGAAAAUUGUUUUGGACCCAACUGGUCCAAAAAUUAACAUUUGGUCCAUGUAACUUCCAUAAUUGAUAGAAAUGUUAUAAAAGGUUAAAAGACCAAUAUAUCUUUCAAAUUUCUAUAUAUAUUACUUUUUAAGGGUAUAAAAUAGUGAUGGACUAAAAUACCCUAUGACCUUUGACAUAAGUUUUUUUUUUCUUUAUUGCACCACUAUUCAUGCAACCAUAAUAAUUAUAUUUUAACAAUUUAGAUUUUUCAUUGUUUUUAAUUUUUUUUAUAAAUAAUUGAAAAUCAGCAUUAUUUUCUAUUUUAAAUUAUAAAUAAAGAAAAAUUAUGUUCAAAAACUAUUUUAAAAAACACUUUCUAAAAAAAUGGUAAUAUGAUUUAUAUUUUCUAUAUUUUCUUUUUGAAAAAACAUUUAAUUAAAAAAUGAAAAUUAUUUUUAAAAAUAAAAAUUGAAAACCUUGUUUAGUACUAUUUUUUUAUAUGAAAAUAAUAAAAAGAAUUAAAUUUCAUUCCUUGAUUAUCUAUUUUUAUUUUUUUUCCAUUAGUUAUUUUAAUAAUAAAAUAUAAAAAAUAUAAUAUGUUUACAAUUAAACAAAGAAAUUGAUCAAUUAUGUGUUUUUUGUGGGAAUAUCUUUUACAUGAAAAAUAAUUAAAUAACUAAAUUAUAUAUAUAUAUAUAUAUAUUACUCUUUUUAAUUUUAUUUUCUUUAUUUAUUUUUUGUCUAUUAGAAAAUUUUAAUAUAUCCAUAAUUAACAAAGUAAUAAAUCAAUUGUGCAUAUUUUAAUCUAUUAAAAUAAAUUAAUUUCUAAUUUAAAUAAAUAAAAUGAAAUAAGUAAAUAAAUUUAGGGUUAUUUCUAUUUUUUAACAUAUCUUAAAUUAAUAUUUUUUAUGGUUAAAUAAUUUUUUUUAAUUCCAAAAAUAAAAUUAAAUAAAUAAAUAAAUUUUAUAUUUUCUAACUGAUCUUAUAUUCAUAUUUCUUAUGGUUAAAUAUAUUUUUUAUUUUUUUCUUUAUUUUAAAAAAUAAAAGGAAAUAAAAAAAUAAACUUGGCUUAAAUAAUAGUUUUUAAUUAAUUUCUUUGUCUUAUUUUUAAUUACAUUUUGCAUUGAAAAUAAAAUAAAAUAACGUUUUAUUUGUUUUAAUUAUUUUAAAUGUCAAACUAUUAGGAACAUAGUUUACACACUCAUGUGGAUAUAAUUUAUACAUAUAUAUAUGAAGUUUAUACCAUUAUACAAAGUUAUUACACUAAUUAUAUAAGGGGUGUACAAAAUUGUACAUUUUGAACAACUUUCUUUUUUUUUUCUUGUCAUCUGAGAAUUAUACGUUCUCCUACCACAAAUUCAUAUAACAAUUCAAAUACUUACCUUAAUAAUGAUGUUUAGAGAAAUUUUUUUUUUUUUACGUUUUAUAUCAUUUUUUAAAUCAAACCAUUGGAAACAUGGUUCACACAUCAUAUGUGACAUAUAAUAUAUGCAUAUGGAUGAAAUUUGCAUCAUUGUACAAGGGUGUUAUACUAACUAUACAAGGUAAAUGUUCAAUUGGACAAGACAAAUAUUCUAACUAUAUAAAACAAAUGUUCUAACUCUACAAGGGGUAUACAAGGCUAUCAUUUGUGAAAGAUUUUAAUUAAUUUUGGACAAUUUUUUUUUUUUUUUUUGUCUUGUCAUCUAAGGAUUGCACACUUUUAAGGUACACAUUCCUCUAUUACACAUUCAUCUUAUACACUUUAUUUAACUCGCACAUGAUAAUUCGAAUACUUAUCCUAUUAAUGAUGUUUGAGAGAAAAUUUUGUUUUUCCAUCUUCCACUAUUUUUUGAAACAAACCAAUGAAAACAUGGUUAAACUACCUAUGAUUACACGUUAAGUAGAGGGUAUAAUGAAUUUGAGUCACUGUACAAAAUAUUUACACUAAGUGUACAUGACAAAUAUACUAAUUGUACAAGGGUGUACAAGACUAUUAUUUGUGAAGGAAUUUGAGUGAUUAUGAAAAACUUGUUUGUUUAUUUCCUCUAACCGAGGAUAAAUGACAUUCCUUACACACAUUGGUUAAACAUACAUUCAUUUCAUGCACUUUAUUUAACUUGUAUAUGGUCAUUUGAAUAGGUACCUCACUUAUGAUGAUUGUAAAACAAAAUUAUACAAUAAUUUUUAUUCUUUUUUAAAACCAAACCAAUGCAAACAUGGUUAACCGACCUAUUGUCAUAUAUUCAUGAGAUAAUGUAUAAAAUUUGAGUUAUUGUAUAAGGGUAUUACACUAACUGUACAAGACAAAUUUACUAAUCGUACAAGGGUAUACAAGACGCUUUUUGUUAAGAAUUUUAAGUGAUUUUGAAAAACUUUCUCAUUUGUUUCCACUCAAAGAUUUUUUUCCCCACUCAAAUUCUCUCACUCAAGAAUUGUUUCGAAUUUUAUUUUUAAAUUUUAUCAACAAAAUUUUGUAAUUGCAUAUUUUGUUUUUAUAGUUUUAGCAAUGUUCUUUCUUUCCACUUUUUUUUUUUGUGAAAUUUUAUCCAAAUGAAUCUAUAUUUAAAAUUAUAAUCAUAUUUAUCAAAUUUUUUACUAAGAUUAUCUUUAAUUCUUUUAAUAUAUUUAUAUUCAUUUAUUUAAAAAAUAAAAAACUAAUUUUUUUUUUGUAAACAUGUUCUAUUACCUUUCAAGAAUUAGAUAAGUUUGAAAGUCAAUAAAAAUAAUUAAAUACCACUUUCAAUAAUUUUUAGAUAAAAUUUUAUAUAAUAUAUUUUAUUUGAAAUUUAAUUUCUAAAGUUUAACUAAAAAAUUAUAUUUACAAUUUUUUUGUUGUGAGUCAAAAUACUUUACAUUAGUCUAUUUAGAUAAGAAAAAUUAUUAAUAUAAUAUUAGAAUUUUGUAUCUUAGUUAUUUUUUUCAAUAAAUUUAUCUUUUUAAAAAUUUUAAAAUAAAAACAUUAAAAAUUAAAAGCUAAAAGGAGAUAUAUAUAUAUAUAUAUAUAUAAUAAAGUGAAGUGAUAGUCAAUUUUUAAAUUUUUUAAAAUAUGGUUAAUAUAGAAAAUAUAAAAAAUAAUUAAAAAUAAGAAAAAAAUAUAAAUGAAAGGGUAAUAUAAAUUUAAAAUAAAAAUUAAAAAUUAAACUAAAAGAUAAAAAAAAUAUUUGGAUGAAAAAUCCCAAAAUUUUUAUCAUUGCUUAUAAUAAAAGCAAAAAGAUUCAAUAUCUUUAAAAAUGAAAAACAAACUUUUUAUUUGACAUAAAAUAGAAAUAUAGAUCGGAAGAAAAAGAAAAAAAAUUAGAAAUGAGUAAUACUUUAUAGGGAAUAGAAAAGGGAAAAAAAACACAAAAAAAAAUUAAAAUUCAUAUUUACUUGUGCCUAUGUAAGAGUUAAAGGUAUUUUAGGGAUUAAUAAAAAAUAAUAUCCUUCAUCUUAAUUUUCAUACUUUGUUUGGGUCUUGGAUUUAAAUAUGUAUGAUAUAUGAACUAAAUGUUAAUUUUUGGAUUCGGCUGAACCCAAAACACGAUUCUCCUUUUUAAUAAAAUCCUAUUAUGUAUUAUUCAUUCAUUGAAUAUGGUAGCUUAACAAUUAUUAGAGGUUUAAUAUAAUAUUGAAAUUUGUUCACGUUUUUUGUUAGGCGAGCUCACAGAAUUUAAGUCGAAUUGGCUUUUAGAUUGCCGCUUUGGAAACCAGCGGUUUCACUCCUUUUUUGGCGACUGCCACCAUGAUAAUACUUGGUUGACCAUGCAUGUGGGUGAAAACCCAAUCAUGCCCACAUCUAACUCCCUUUAGCAUUACAAAUCCAAGAACAAAGUAGUCAUUCCAAUUCAAAAGCAAACAAAGCCAUGAAUACUGCUGGCCACAGCCUCUGGUUUUUCGUAAACUUAGGGCACCAAAUCCAAACCCAUCUCUUUCCUAUAAAACCAACCCACCUUCACUUCAUCUUCUUCAUCACAACCCAAAACACUUUGAUUUACAGAGAGAUAUUCAAUAUCCCAUUCACUACUCAGUAUCAGUUCUUUUACUGUUGAUUGUUGUUUGAGUUUUGGAGGAAGAAAAUUAAGAAGAUGAGUCAUAUGGGGAAAGCUUGGAUAGUGGCAGCAAGCGUGGGAGCAGUGGAGGCACUCAAGGAUCAGGGCUUCUGCAGAUGGAAUUACACUAUGAGGUCUAUUCACCAGCAUGCCAGGAACAGCCUCAGGUCUUUUUCUCAGGUCAAGAAGCUCUCUUCCUCUUCCGCCAUGGUUUCUAGCAGAGUGAGAGACGAGAAAGCAAAGCAAUCAGAGGAGUCUCUGAGGACUGUCAUGUACCUGAGCUGCUGGGGACCCAACUGAGGAAGCAGAUCUGGAUAUGAAGAUGAUGAUCAUCCUACCACUGAAUCUUCCAUGGAGGGCAUAUCCCAAGAAAGUGAUAAGAACAAUCUUAGGCCCCUCUCUCAAGCUAGGAGCCUCUCUUCUUCUUCUUCCUAUAAGAUGGGUGUGAAGAGUAGUGGGGAAGAUGAGAAAAGGAAGAAGAAGACACAGAAAACAUUGGGGAAAGUCAUGCACUAGAGCUCCUGGGUCCCCAGUGGAGCAAUGGAUACAGAUUUUGCGGUGCAAUAUAAGAGUAAAAAUUUUGUAGACAACUGCAGAAAGAUGUGAUGAUCUUCAUGCGUACUUCAAAAAAAUGAAAUCAGAUAUCAGAUUUAUUAUCAUAAUAUUGUGUUGCCUUUUAUCAUUUUUUGCCAUGGGAUCACUAUCUUUGUUGGUUUUGAUUGAAUUUGAGCUUUAGCAGAUGGAGCAAUCAAGAGUUUGAAGCAAAAAGCACUUAAGAUCCACCUUCAGUGCAAUAUAUUUUGUUUUGAAUUGAUUGUGCAGGCAUUGUUCACCCCACAAUCCCUUCCUCCUCUCAGUCAAACUCAUAACUAUGGCUUGGCUCUAAUUUCAAUUCUCAAACAUCUUAACUGAAAAUCAUACUGAUGACUAAUAACAAUAAGUUCAACCUUUUAUGGCCUUUUUUUUUUUUCGGAGUGAUUGUUUGCGUGAUUCAUUUCAGACUUAAAAGAAUGAUGUUAUUGUGCCUAUACACAAAUUUUAUACUCAUGGUUUUAAUAGAAUCCCGUUCACUAUGUGAAAUUAAUAGUUUAAUAUAAUAUUAGAGUUUUAAUAUAUAGUAUUAUUUUAUAUUUUGAAAUUAGUAUUUUAAUAUAAUAUUAAAAUUUGUUCAGAUUUUCUGUUCGUUUUCUUGUUUAUUAAUCUUAUGGUUGGGUUUGAAAAAUGGAAAAUUUGAGAAAAAAAAAUGUGAGAAAAAAUUGAAAAAUAUACUUAAAAUUAAUAAAUUAUUUUUAGAUGCUUCAUUAAAUUUAUUAUAUUUUUAUAAAUUAUAAUUACAUUGAAUAAUUUAAAAAUAUAAAUUUUUUAAAUUAAUUUUAAUGACUUUUUUUUCCUUCUUUAAAAUUUUCAUGAUAAACUAGAAAUUGUAAAAUCAUUUGUGUUUUUUUCACCCUAUGUUGGACUUUUCCGGCCAAAUAUAGCUUAACUUUAGGGUUGUAAUUUGGACAAGUUGAUCGGCCUGAUCAUUGAUGGUCAAUCCAGACUCAAUCCAACCUUAUUUUUAAAAAAUAAAGUUAGUUAGUGGAGUUAAACUCAAAUUGAUUAGAUUAAACUUUAUAUUAAAACUUGGAUUGAUUAGGUUAAAUUUUAUGUUAAAAUUUGGAUUGAUUGGUUUAAAUUUCACCUUAAAAUUUGGAUUGAUUGGGUUAAACUUGAGUUGAUCCAAUUGAUUGAUUGUGUUGUAUAAUUCAAAAUUCAUUAAUAAUAGUUUUUUUUUUAAUUUUAUACAUUUAUACCAAAAUUUAGUUAGUAAUAAGACAAAAUUUCAAACAAUAAUAAUAAUAAUAAUAAUAAUAAUAAUAAUAAUAAACUCAUUUUUUUUUUCAAAAAAUGAAAAAAAUAUACUAAAUGAUCACAAUUUAAUAUUUUUCUUUAAAAUUUUAAAAAUAAAUAAAUAUUAUUAUAUUAGAUAAUAAAUAUUAUAAAAACAUUAAAUUUGGUUUGACUCGGAUUAUAGCCUAAAUCUAAUUCAAAUUGAAUUUUGGUUGUGAAAAAACUUAACCCAACCAAAUAUUGGAUUAAGUUGGGUCAACCCGUCAAAGUUAUACCCGUGACUUGUUUGGGCAUCUCACAGAAUUUAGUCAAACAGCUGAAAAUUAAUGGACUCCAGUGGGCAGAGUAAGUAAAGCAAAUUGUUUUGGAUUGCCGCAUUGUCACUUCUGAAACCAGCGGUUUCAGUCCUUUCACCCUUUUAGCAGGAAAACAGGGGGCACACCUCCUGGCAACUGCGACCAUAAUAACACUUAGUCGGGAAUAAAAAUGUAGCUGAAAAACCAAUCAUGCCCAAAUGUAACCUACUUUAGCAUUACAAAUCUAAGGACAAAGUAGUCAUUCCAAUUCAAACCAAACAAACCCAUGAAUACUGCUGGCCACAGCCUCUGGUUUUUGCCAAACGUUGGGCACCAAAUCCAAACCCAUCUAUUGCUAUAUAACCAACCCAUCUUCACUUCAUCUUCUUCAUCACAACACAAACACUUUGAUUUACAGAGAGAUCUUCUAUAUCCUAUUCACUACUCAGAAUCAGUUCUUUUUAUUGUUGAUUGUUGUUUGAGUUUUGGAGAGAGAAUUAAGAUGAGUCAUAUGGGGAAAGCUUGGAUAGUGGCAGCAAGUGUGGGAGCAGUGGAGGCACUCAAGGACCAGGGCUUCUGCAGAUGGAAUUACACUCUGAGGUCUAUUCACCAGCAUGCCAAGAACAACCUCAGGUCCUUUUCUCAGGCCAAGAAGCUCUCUUCUUCCUCUUCCGCCAUGGUUUCUAGCAGAGUGAGAGACGAGAAGGCCAAGCAAUCAGAGGAGUCUCUGAGGACCGUCAUGUACUUGAGCUGCUGGGGACCCAACUGAGGAAGAAGAUAUGAAGAUGGAUGAUCACCAGCAUACUAGUGAAGCAUCGAUGGAGGGCAUAUUCCAAGAAAGUGAUACGAACAACUUAGUUCCCUCUUUCAAGCUAAGAGCCUCUCUUCUUCUUCUCCUCCUUAUUCUUAUAAGAUGGAGGUGAAUAGUGGCGGAGAAGGUGAGAAAAGGAAGAAGACACAGAAAGUAAUGGGGAAAGUCGUGGGCUUGAGCUCCUGCGGUCCCAGUGAAGCAAUGGAUAGAGAUUUUGAGGUGUAACAUAAGAGUAAACAUUUUGUAGAGAUCUGCAGAUAGAUAAGAUGAUUUUAAUGUGUACUUAAAAAAAUGAAAUAAGAUUUCAGAUUUAUCAUCAUAAUAUUUGUGCCAUGGGACUAUCUUGGUUAGUUUUUUAGAGGGUUAAAAACUAAUUCUACUUUGGAAGAAAGGAAUCACCUUCAAAUUAAGCCAUCUUUCGAGCAGUUUGGAAAAACCCUUAUCUAAUAAAGACCUCUAUAAAGUACAAAAAGGUUGUGCUUUUACCAUAAAAAAGGUUGUUUCAAGCCCGAGAACAUCAGAAAUCAUCAUGCCAAGGUUGAUAGAGUUGCUAACAUACAGAUAAGAAAUUUUACCCAAAAAAAUAAAAUAAAAAAAUUAAAGCUUUGUCUUGAAAAGUCUCUCAAAUUCAGAUUCAUUUUUGGAAGAAGAAUAAGAGAUAUCUAAGUGAAGUGAGGGGUUCGUGGACAGGAAAUUUAAGAUAUUUUAAUAAUCCAAUAGUUUUAUUUGAUUUUUAUCAUAGUAUAAUAAAAUAAUUCUCUUUUAUUUGUGGAUGUAAGUUAAUCAAAACAUGUUAAGAUCUCGUGUAUUUUUGUGUGAAUUAUUUUAUUUUUACAUUCUAAAAUUAAUAUUUUUGUAUUAAAGCUUACAUUGAUACCAAAGCUAUGUUGAAGAUUUGUAAAAGAACAAAAAAAAAAAAAAAAAUAGUACACAAAAAAAAUGAUAAAAUGAAUUUUAAUUGAAAGUGAAGUUGAUUGUUUCCAAAACAUGAUACAAAAAAUAUGUUAUGAAAAGAUGAAAAAUUAACUUAAUGGAAUUUGAUGUCGAGAUUGUUCAAGAGUGCCUUAAAUUCUUAUUAAUAUUGAUUGAUUUUUAUAAGGAAUAUUGUAUAUAAUAUAUUUUAAGUUAAUAUAUUAUUAUAAUAUUAGAUUUCUUUAUUCAGUAAAGAAAGUUAUUAAAAAUAUUUUUAUAAAUAUUUUAAAUCUUAUAAGAUGAAGAUUAACUUGUAAAAAUUAUAUGAGAUGGAUAAAGAUGUAUAAAAAAAAUGAAAGAUAUCUUGAAUGAUGUAGUGAAAUGAUUCUCUCAUUCGCAUAUAUAGGCAUGAUUCAUCGAAUCAUAUUAAAACCUCAUGUAUUUUCCGGUGGAUUGUUUUAUUUUUAUGUUUUUAAACCAAUAUGUUUGUGUUAAGAUUUUCCCUUACCCAACACCUUCAACCCUCUCUUUUAUUUAUUUUUUUCAUUAUAUUUAUAAAGAGGUUUAUCCAAAGAUCUCAAUCCCUUGUCCUCAUCUUACCGUCUUUGAUCUAUCCGAGGAAUUUUAGUUUCUUUGGUAAUGAUUAAUUUUGAAUCUUACAAAACAAAACAAUCAAAAGUUUGAAACAAAGCAAGAUGCAUCAUUUAGACAAUUGGUUCAAAGGCUUCAUGAUAGACGUUACAUCCCAACAGUCAUUUAUGCUCUUAUAAGUCAAAUUCAUAAUCCAAUGUAUUAUUAGUUCAUUAUGUGAAAUUAAUAACUCAGCUAACAUUAGAGGUUUCAUAAAACACUAGAAUUUGUUCACAUUUUUGUUAGGUGAGCUCACAGAAUUCAAGUCCAAUUGGCAACUACUCCAAAAGUGAAUGUUAUUGAACUCCAAUAAGCAACUUGUUUUAGACUGCCGCAUUGUGGCUUUGGAAACCAGCGGUUUCACUCCUUUCACUCCUUUAGCAGGAAAACAGGGGACACAUCUUUGGCAGCUGCCACCAUGAUAAUUCUUAGUAGGGACCACACAAGUGGGUGAAAACCCAAUCAUACCCACAUCUAACUCCCCUUAGCAUUACAAAUCCAAGGACAAAGUAGUCAUUCCAAUUCAAACCAAACAAACCCAUGAAUACUGCUGGCCACAGCCUCUGGUUUUUUCCUAAAGUUUGGGCACCAAAUCCAAACCCAUCUCUUUUCUAUAAAACCAACCCACCUUCACUUCUUCUUCUUCAUCACAACACAAACACUUUGAUCUACAGAGAGAUCUUCAAAAUCCCAUUCACUACUCAAAUCGGUUCUUUUUAUUGUUGAUUGUUGUUUGAGUUUGGAGAAAGAAAAUUAAGAAGAUGAGUCAUAUGAGGAAAGCUUGGAUAGUGGCAGCAAGUGUGGGAGCAGUGGAGGCACUCAAGGACCAGGGCUUCUGCAGAUGGAAUUACACUAUGAGGUCUAUUCACCAGCAUGCCAAGAACAACCUCAGGUCCUUUUCUCAGGCCAAGAAGCUCUCUUCUUCCUCUUCUGCCAUGGUUUCUAGCAGAGUGAGAGAUGAGAAGGCAAAGCAGUCAGAGGAGUCUCUGAGGACUGUCAUGUACUUGAGCUGCUGGGGACCCAACUGAGGAAGAAGAUAUGAAGAUGGAUGAUCACCAGCCUACAGCGAAGCAUCCAUGGAGGGCAUAUUCCAAGAAAGUGAUAACUCAUAAGUGGAGUGGAGAUCAGUUUCAUGGAAUUUUUCCUAGAAGACAAACAAGGUGGAAAUCCAGAAAUUAAUUAGAACCAACUGCUAAUAGUUGGCGUCUCUGAGUUAGGAAUUUGUUAGCAAAAGGCAGCUUUGGUAUAUAUACUAAUAUACGAGAUGAUUUCAAUGUAUAUUUGAAAUAGAAAUUAGAUUUAUUAUCAAAACGAUUGCGUUGUCUCGUCUUUUAUAUUUUCCAGAUCCAAACAGAUCCUAAAGGCCCUAAAAUUUUUGUUGUAUCAUUUUUAUGCUAAAAAAUUACACAUAGAAAAAUUAACUAAAUCAUAAGUAGCUUCUAACCAUGAAUUGUUUUUUUUUUUUUAAGCCUAUAAAUUUUAUGCUUUAGAUACAUGCAUUAAAAAUCUAUCUAAACCAUAUAUAAUUAUUUUAAUGCAGUUAUAUAACUGAUAAAAAUAGAAAUAAAUUUAAUAAAUAUAAAAUAAUAAAAUAUUAGGAUAAGUAUUGAAGAUCAAUUUUCAGUCUUCAAACUUAAUCGAACUUGAAAGUGGAUGGCGAUGGAUACAAUGAUUUGAGCCAGGUCUUAAAUCUUUAACUUAAUGGAGCAAUUAUUGUAAUCUACUUAAUAAUUGGUCAGUAUAAAAUUAAAUAAUAAUAAAAGGAGAAAGAAAAGGACACGUGUUUGACGUGGACGUUGCCAAAACAGCGGUUUCAGACAGGCCUUUUACUGCCCGAGCGCCAGUGGAUUAACAAAGAAAACAAUGAGCACAUCAGUGGAAGCGGCACCAGCUACCAAGUAUGCAGCUGAAAUGCCCCUUGGAAUUACAAAUCGAAGGACAAAAGAGUCAUUCCAGACCAACCCAGAAAUACAGCUGACCCCUGCCUCUGGUUUUUCCCCAAACCUUGUGCCUUUCUCUAUCUAUAUAAUCCAGCCCACCUUCUCUCCAUCUUCUUCAUCGCAACACAAACGCUUUGAUUUACUGAGAGAUCUUCCAUAUCAAUUCACUACUGAGAUUGUUGUUUGGGCUUUGAGUUCUUGGGAAAGAAAGUUAAGAAGAUGAGUCAUAUGAGGAAAGCUUGGGUGGUGGCAGCAAGCGUGGGAGCAGUGGAGGCACUCAAGGAUCAGGGCUUCUGCAGAUGGAACUACACUCUGAGGUCUAUUCACCAGCAUGCCAAGAACAACCUCAGGUCCUUUUCUCAGGCCAGGAAGCUCUCUUCUUCCUCUUCUGCAAUGGUUUCUAGCAGAAUGAGAGACGAGAAGGCAAAGCAGUCAGAGGAGUCUCUGAGGACUGUCAUGUACCUGAGCUGCUGGGGACCCAACUGAGACGUUCCACAUUUCGAGUGAUCAAGAAGAAGAUGAUGAUGACGAAAGAUUCAUGGAGGGAGCAUGUGAAGGAAGUCAUGAGAAGGGGAGAUGAAAACCAUUAAUGGAGAAGAGAGAUCCAUCUGUGGAUGAAGGCAGUGGAAAUUUGGAGCCGAGUGAGUCAUGGGUAAUGGUUCUUAUGAGUUGGGAAAUUAUCAGCAAAGUGCUUUCUCAACCUCAGAUGCUUUGGGAGGAAUGGGAAUUUACCAGAAAAUUGCAAGUACAUAUGUAUGAUGCUUUUUAUGCAUAAUUUGUCCGAAAGCAAUAAUAAUCAGAUUAAUUUUCAGCUAUACUUCUUCUGAGAUAUGGAAUUUGUUGGUUCUGAUUUAAUUUCAAUGAAAUUGAUUAUUUUGUAAUUCUAAAGAAAAUUGGAUUAUUCUGUAAAUUCUAUUAUUUUAUUGUUGUAUAAAGGUAAAUUCUUCUAUCAUUUGUUUUGAUAUAUUCAAAAUUAGACACAGAAAUUAAAAAAAAAAAAAAAAAAUCCACUAUUCCAAGCCAACCCGCAGCCCAAGCUGACGGGUGCAUCCAACCAGGUAGCCAUGUUCAGGGAAAACAGCGGUUUCACCCACAUUUUUACUCCUUGCGCAAUGGAAAAAAAAAAAGAAAAGCGAUUAAAGCCCAAAAUGCCCAUGUAUCUCUUCAUUUGCCAUUAGAAGUAUAUGCACAAAACAGUCAUUCCAUCCACCCCUCACCAACCCAAAAAUCCUGGUAACCACAGCCUCUGGUUUUCCCCCACACCUAUGUCUUUUAAACAAUGGGCACACUACUGCCGACUGCCCCUACGCUUACUGCUUACAUUAGUUGAGGAUGAGUGAUGGGGCCAAGGCCAACUAUGUAGGUGAAUUCCCAAUUAUACCCACCUGAAUCCGCCCUCAAUCUGACCAAUCCGAGGACAAACGUAAUAAUCAUUCCAAUUCAGAUCAAGCAAACCCAUGAAAACUGCUGGCCACAGCCUCUGGUUUUUUCCCAAACUUUGGGCACCCGAUCCAAACCUAUCUCUUUCUAUAAAACCAACCCACCUUCACCUCAUCUUCUUCAUCACAACACAAAACACUGGAUUUACAGAGAGAUCUUCAAUAUCCAUUCACUACCCAGAAUCAGGUCUUUUUAUUGUUGAUUGUUGAUUGAGUUUUGGAGAAAGAAAAUUAAGGAGAUGAGUCAUAUGGGGAAAGCCUGGAUAGUGGCAACAAGCAUGGGAGCAGUUGAGGCAUUGAAGGAUCAGGGCUUCUGCAGAUGGAAUUACACUAUGAGGUCACUUCACCAGCAUGCCAAGAACAACCUCAGGUCCUUUUCUCAAGCCAAGAAGCUCUCUUCUUCCUCUUCUGCCAUGGCUUCUAGCAGAGUGAGAGAAGACAAGGCAAAGAAAUCAGAGGAGUCCUUGAGGGCUGUCAUGUACUUGAGCUGUUGGGGACCCAACUGAGACCCACCAAAAAUUAGUAGAGAGUUGUAAACAUGUAUGAUGAUUUUUUUAUGUAUUUUUUUGAAAAAAAAUCAGAUUAGGUAUCAGAAAUUCAGAAUGAUUGUUUUUUGCACUUUGUUUUUACAUGCCAUGGGAUUUGGAGUUGGUUAGUUUUGACUGAGCAUGAAAGGCAGGCCAGGGUUUUAAAGAAUUGAAUCAUUCACUGGAGAUGGAAUCUCUCUCAGAGAAAUCCUUAUUCUCUACAACCUUGGCAAAUGGCAAGCCACUAAGAGGGAAAACACAAAAAAUAAAAAUAAAAUAAAAUAAUAAUAAUUGUAGAGGAGAUAUUUGCCAAUAUAUAAAACUUAUAUUUUUGUAUUAUUAUUGAAUAAAUUAGAUUUUAUCAUACACUUAAAUAAUGGAGAUACAAAUUCAAUAUAAUACUUUUUUUUUGGUUAAUUUUAAAAGGUUUCUAAGGAAAUUAAGUCUUAAUCAAACAACUUUUAUUGAUCUUUUACAAUAUGAAUUUAUCUCUUUAAAAUAAUUUUAAUUUAGCAUUUAAAAUUUUCCGUUGAACUUUUUCACCAAAUGAGAAGUAAAAACGUAACAGAGGAAUGCAGGACUUUAAAGUGAAGUUGUCUUUUUUUGAACAAGCUAACUUUAAGUCUCGUUUUUUAAGAGAACUUUUCAUAGAAUUUGAAUUAUUUAUUUAACGAUAAAUUUUCAUGAUUUUUUUUUUAAAUUUACACCAUUUUGAAAGGGAAACUUGUAUUUUGAUGGAGCAAUUUGGAAAAUAUAUGAUUUUUGGAAUCCAACUUCACGAAAUCUGAAAACUAACUUUUAAUGUGAAAAAUUAUAUAUUUUUCAUGCACUCUAAGUCGGUUGCAUAUUUUUGUGCUAAGAUUAUUUUUAGGUUUAGUGAUUUUCCAAAAUUAUCCUUUUUGUUUUUUUUUUUUUUCUCUUGUACCCAUCAUCUGCCUCUCCCUCCCUCCCCAGUGAAAUUGGUUGGUAUUUUGCCGACGUCAUCACCAACCGCCACCCACACUUCUCUCCCGUUGGCAAUCUCCUCCUUUCUCCAUUUCCUUCCCUCUUUCUCUCUCUCUUUCAUUCCCUUUCGACAUCACCAAGAGAGAAGAAGGCGGUGGCAAUGGUGGAGAACCGGGGUUGGAGGGAAGAAGGUGCGACUGGUUGCCAUUGACGGUGGCAACCAGUAACUCUCGCAGUCAUUGACAACGGUGGUGGUGGAAGCACCUAAGUGGGGAGAGACGUCAAGGAGAGGUGGGAGGGAGGCGGACGAGGGGACCACGUCUUUCCCUACGCUGGUGCUUUCGCCGUCGCCACUGUCAAUAAUCGUGAGAGUUGUUGGUUGCUGUUUGUCGCGCCUUCUUCCCUCUAGCCCUGGUUCUCCACCAUUGCCACUGCCCUCUUCUCUCUUGAUGAUGUCGAAAGGAAAUGAAAGAGAUAAAGAAAGAGGGAAGGGAAUCGGAGAGGGGGAAAUUAAUGAUCGGAGAAAUGUGUGAGUGACGGCCGAUUUCACAAGGGAGGGAGGAAGAGGCGGAUGGUGGUGGGUAUAGGAGGAAAAUAAACAAAAAGGAUCACUUUGGAAAAUCACUAAAUCCAAAGGUAAUCUCGACACAAAAUAUGUAGCCGGUUCAGAGUGCAUGAAAAAUAUAUAAUUUUCCAUAUUGAAAAUUGAAUUUUAGAUUUCAUAAAGUUGGAUUCUAAAAACCAUAUAUUUCUUAAAUUUCCUCAUCAAAACAUAAGUCUGCAUUUUGAAAAGGAAAAACCCAAUGAAAUAUGUUCGUACUUCGUAUAGACCGUGGAGUGGGGUGUGAAAAAAACAAAGAAAUAGACACGUGCUUGAAAUCCGGCCGUGCACAUUACCCCAUUGGAAAACAGCGGUUUCAUCCUCCUUACUCUUUGAGCGUUGAGUGGAUUCACAAACAAAACAAUGGGCACGUACUGCGGACUGCCCCACACCAACACUGAGGGCCAACUAUGUAGGUGAAUACCCAAUUAUACCUACAUGAAUCAGCCGUCAAUCUUACAAAUCCAAGGGCAAAGUAGUCAUUCCAAUUCAAACCAAACCAAGCCAUGAUUCAUGAAAACUGCUGGCCACAGCUCCCGGUUUUUCCCUAACUUUGGGCACCAAAUCCAACCCAUCUCUUGCUAUAUAACCAACCCACCUUCACUUCAUCUUCUUCAUCACAACACAACUACCUUGAUUUACAGAGAGAUCUUCUAUAUCCAUUCACUACUCAGAAUCACCUCUUUCUAUUGUUGAUUGUUGUUUGGGUUUCGGAGAAAGAAAAUUAAGAUGAGUCAUAUGGGGAAAGCUUGGUUAGUGGCAGCAAGUGUGGGAGCAGUGGAGGCACUCAAGGAUCAGGGCUUCUGCAGAUGGAACUACACUCUGAGGUCUAUUCACCAGCAUGCCAAGACCAACCUCAGGUCCUUUGCUCAGGCCAAGAAGCUCUCUUCUUCCUCUUCUGCCAUGGUUUCCAGCAGAGUGAGGGAGGAGAAGGCCAAGCAGUCAGAGGAGUCUCUGAGGACUGUCAUGUACUUGAGCUGCUGGGGACCCAACUGAAGAAGAAGAUAUGAAGAUGGAUGAUCAUCAGCCUGCACUUGAAGCAUCCAGAGAGGGCAUAUUCCAAGAAAGUUAUGGAAAAUUAAGAUGAAGAAACUGCAGUGAAGCAAUUUCAUGGAAUUUUUGCUUGGAGACUCCCGAAUUACAACCAAUUGCUCAGGGUUGGGAAAAUUGGAAUUGCUGUAAAUUGUGACUGGUUCUUUGUAAAACCCAAAUCAUUUAGCUAGAAAUUGAAAAUACAUUUUAAUUUAAUUUAUAGUUUCUCUGUUAGAAUAUUAGACCCAAUUCCUAAAAAGCUUGUCAGUCUUGUAUUAGACCCAAGCUCAAGCGCAUUAAGAAAAAAUAUGGCAGAUUUGGUCACAUAGGGGAUGAAGAGGUGAUAAAGUAGAUACAACGCCCAAAAUUAAACUCUCAAUCAAUUUAAUUGAACAAAUAAUCAUAAAAGAGAUUUUUUAAAUUUAUGAUUUUUGAAAAAGAAAAUUCCAGUGAAAUAUGUUCAUGUAGACUGUGUGGUAGGAUGAAGACUAAACAAAGAAAUGGACACGUGGUUGAAGUCCGGCCCUACACAUUGCCCCAUUGGAAAACAGUGGUUUCAUCCUCCGUACUCUUUGGGCGUUAAGUGGGUUCACAAACCAAACAAUGGGCUGCCUUAACGUGGUGUUUAUUUUUUUACUUAAUUCUAAAUAGAAUCUUAAUAUUUAAUCGUAUUAAAUAUUAGAUUAUUUAUUUUUUAGUAUUUUAUUUUUAUUAAGUAUUAAAAAGUAAAAAAAAUCAUUGUGUUAUUUUUUCUAUUUAGAAAAAAUUAUAUAUUUUGAUUUUUUCUAUUUAGUAAAAAGUUUAUAAUAAGUCAUUAAAAAGUAAAAAAACAAACCAUCUAAAUUCUAAAACUAAAUGAUUUUUAGCAAAAAGCCAAAAAAACAAACACCACUUUAGACUGAGGACAAACUAUGUAGGUGAAUAUCCCAUUAUACCUACAUGAAUCAGUGGUCAAUCUUACAAAUCUAAGGACAGAGUAGUAAUUCCAAUUCAAACCAAACAAAGCUAUGAGAACUGCUGGCCACAGCCUCUGGUUUCCCCAAAACUUUGGGCAGUAUUCCUCAAAGAAUCAAGUGGGCUAGAUUUAACAACUUCGUCCACCAUGGUUAGAUUAUUGGGGGCUAGAGUAAAUAACUUCAUCCACCAUGGUUAGAUUAUUGGUAUCUCGAUGGGAGAAGUUGUUUUGAUGGAAAAACAUUGUAUUUUAUUAUUUUGUAAAUUUUAUCAUCACUCAUAUAUAUUAUUUUUUAUUUAAAAUUAAAUAAAAAAUUAAAAUUCUUAGAAAAUACGAAAAGAAAGUAUAUCACAAUCUUUAUUUUCUAUUCUAAAAUUAAAAAAUAAAAAUAAAAUUAUGAAGAAAAAAGUACAUUCCAACUUACAUUAAUUAAGGGAUGAUAUACUCUGCAAAUAAAAAAUAUAAAAAAUAAUUAAAGGUUAAAUAAAUCACUUAAUAAAUCGGUAGUAGGGGUUGAUGGUUUCAUUAUUAGACUAUAACAAGGAUUUUCAUUUUCAUUUUCUUUUUAAAUGCAUUUCAUGGUGGUGUAGAAUUUUUUUGUAUAAGGGUUUUUAAAUUGUAAUAUAGAUUAUAUAUAUAGUUGUGUUUUGUCCUAAAUUCUGACUUCCAAGUUUUCAACAUUAUAUAAAAAUCCCUAAAAUCACCUACUUCGUACGUUUUCUAACAUUAUAUAAAAAGCCCUGAAUUCACCUAUUAGAAAAAUGUUAUUUGGUGCGCUAUCAUUACCAUGACCUCAACCUCGUGCAAAGAUAUCGAGUGGUUACUAAUAGUAAAAAAUAAAUAAUAAAAACAAAAUAUAUUCAUUAUUAUUAUUAUUAUUAUUUUGUACUUUUACCAUCCAUUAUUCACAUCUUAGCAUAUGAUAGAAAAGAUGAUAAAAGAUUAUUUAUGUUGUAUGAUUUUAAGUGAAAUGAUCAAAAUAUUUAAAGAAAAAAUUAAUAAUUCAUGAAGAAUUUUUGGUAAAUUUAUAAAUUUGUAAUAAAUAUUGAUAAAUGAUAAACAAAGUAGUUUUUAAAGUGGUUGCAGUAGUUAAACAUUGUAUCUUAUUAUGAUUUUCCACCUUCAAAACUUAAUAAUAAAAUUUCAUAACAAAUUUUUAUCUAUUUGAAACUUUUGAAAUGUGGAAUCUUUUCUUGGACAUUUUUAUAUAUACAUUUGUGAAUUUUAUCUUUAUUUUUUAUUUAUAAAAUUAAAGGAUAAAAUUAAAAUGUUAAAAAUAAAAGAGAAGUAUAUCCCAACUUGCAUCAAUUAAGAGAAGAUAUAUAAAGCACAUGAAGAAUGCAAAAAAAAUUAAUGAUAAAAUAAAUCACUUAUUAGAUAGUAUUUAAUGAUUUACAUUAUUAGAUUGUAGAAAUGAGUUAUAUUUUUAUUUUUGUGUAUAGGGGAUUUUAAAUUAUAAUAUAUAUUUUUAUUUUUGAGUUAGUUUUCUUUGUUGAUACAUAGUUUUUUUUUUGUCUUGGAUAUUGUGUUAUCAGCAGUUUUAAAAGAAAUAAAAAUUAUUUAUCCCACAUCGAUUCAAAACUAAAAAUAUUAUAUAUAUUUAUUAAAACUUUGAUACCCUUAAAAAAUACAAGUACAACCAAUAAGCAAGCAUAGGGAUGACAACGGGGCGGGUAUGGGACAUGCCACCCCUACCCCAUUUCCAUCCCGGUUAUAUAUUUUUUUGCCCAUCCCUGUCCCAAACUCGGGGCGGGGCGAGUUGGUGUCCCCCUUACCUGUUUACAAAAGAGCUGAUAAUCUCAUCCCCAUCCCAAAUGUAUUUUCGGGAAUUAUGCUUUUACAAAACAUGGGUCUCUGAAAUUUCAAUAAACGUUAUAUGGGUUAUCAUAAACACAUUUAAUCAAGCAUUUGUUGUGCAACAAAACUACAAACUGCACAUAUGAGAACAAAAUGCACAGAUCUACAAAUAAACAACCCAAAAAAUCUCAAAUCCAUAAACCAAAACCAGAAAAAUAUGAAAAACAAGACAUUCUAACAAAGCCUCAAAACUUAGGGUUUUCUUACCUGGAAAUGAGGAAUCCAUAGAAACCCUAAUAAUUUGUUGUCUACGAAUUUGGUUUUUGGUUUUUAGAGCAAAAAUUGUGCUUUUAGGGUGAAAUGGGAAGAAGCAAUUUAGGAAUAAAUGAGAAAACGGGAAGAAAUGAGAAAACGAAAGGCCUUUUACGAGCAAAAGAACCCUGAGCAAUUUAGGAAGAAAUGAGAAAACGGGAAGAAAUGAGAGCGAAAGCCCUCUAACUCUCUCAUGAGCAAAAUAACCCUAAAACUUGAGGAAGAAAUGAUUAUAUGUGUAGGACUUUUUGGGUAUUUUGUAAUGACAUAAGGGUAAAUUGGUAAUUCACAUACGGGGCGGGGCAGAAACUGCAAAACCCAUCCCUGCCUUAAACCCAAUUCGGGUUUUUAUAUAUUCCCCAAACCCUUUUUAUACCCGAAUAGGAUAUUCUCAUACCCGUCCCAAUAGGGACGGGGCGGGUGACCCGAAUUACCCGGAAAAUUGUCAUUCCUAAGCAAGCAUUGAGCUAAAUCCUAAUCUCACAUUCCUACUUGAAACUUUACACUCACAUAAAAACAACUCACCACUUGACUCGAGGGACUAUUCCGUAACUUCUCACUACCAACAACCAGGCACUAUUCAACCUCUCGCUCACUUAUAAAUUCACUCCCUACCUGCAUAUUCAAAACGUAUCUCACUACUAUUCUACUCUACUAUUCUACUUUUCGUGGUUUCAUAUCUCACUAUUAUUCCACUUUUCGCGGUUUCAUAUCUCACUACUAUUCGCGUGUUCAAAGUGUAUCCCUCCCUGAAUUAAUUGUGAAUUAAUUUAGGCUUCAAAGUGUGUUGCUCUACAAUAUCCCUCCCAGUCAGGCCUCAAAGUAAGAACAACAACAUCUACAAUAUCUGCCAUGGCCACACAACCAAGGCAUGCGGUAUGCCGCAUUUUCUCAUGUCCUUUUCCCAUUUUGUUCCCUCUUUUCAUCUCCAUUUUGUUUUCAAUAUCCCCUUACCUUACUCAUAUUCUCUAAAAUUAGAUAAAAUUAUUAAUUUGAUCAUAUUUAUCUAACAUUUUUAAUUAAUACUACUAGUAUCUUAUUUUCAUAAAUCUAAUUGAAUUUCCUACUUAUUUAUUUAUUGUUUUCAUGACAAAACUUCAUCAACUUUCAUAUCUUUCCUUACAAUUCUGAGUUCAACUGUCCUUGCGAAAUACCAAUAUGAGAAUGUUUCCCCAUUUGCCCAACACAACAUAGGUAUGCAAAUCUCCUUAUUUGCAUCAUUUAUAUAUUUCAUGAUGGUUGUGGUUUAUGAAAUCCUUGAUUCUAAUGGAACUAUCAAAAUUGAAGAAGAUGGAAGAUAUCUCCUUAUUUUGAGUCAUGUUCGGUUCUUAAGUGGAACAGCAGCUGCAACUUUGUUGAUCCUGAUCUUGAUCCCAUAUUUUGGAUGGUUCUUUCUGAUCAUGUGGACCAUGUUCUUAGUGAAAAUAACAUGCUAUUGGGAUAAAACAUUUUAUAACUUUGACAUGUUCAAGAAUAAAAAAAAAUGCCAAUGAUAGGGAAGGAGGACAAGAGGAGCAACGACUCCAAGUUUAGAGUAGGUUUGGUCCAUCAGAGGUUAUUAGCAAAAAACAUAUUUUCUUCUUGUACUUUCGAAAGUGUUAAAUAAGUGUUAUAUUUUGAGUAAUGAGAGUAUUUUUUUCCUUUUUUCUUUUUUUCUAAUACAUUAUUGGUGAUUAUUCUUCGUCGGAAUACCCACAAGGCUAUUAGAUGUUUCAUUGCAAAAUAUGGUUUUAUAUGAUAGCAUUACGAUUGAACUAAUAAAACAUAUUUUUUGCAUAUUGUUUAGUUGGACCCCCCGACUACCUCUCGGUAAUAUCCUCUUAACAUAGGAAGUAUAAACUAAUAGCAAGUGCUAAUCUUUCCCAUUCUUACACAAGAAAGACCCAAGGAGAAGGUAUAUUUAGAAAUUGCAUAUCUAUGUUCCCAAACAAUAGAAAAUUCAAUAUAUGGCACUUCACUCUCUACUUUUCUUUCCCACAUUUUCUCAUAACCCAAAUAUGCUCACCUCUCAUUCUAAGAUCCAACCAUUGAAAAACAAUUACAAAAAUCCUAAUAAAAGAGAUAGAUCAUACUACAAUUACACUUUCUUACAAGAAAUUGAAGUGUAGAAGGUAUAACAAUUGAGUGAAACAAAUAAAAACCAACCUCCUUUAACACACAUGCUAAUGAAAUACUUGCAGAGACACUUUAAAUUUCUCCAGACUCCAAGAGAUAUUGAACAACAGCCUCGACACCUGCAGCGACGAGACCAUCACCUGAUACGAUAUAAUGCACAAACUCGGCACGGAAUCAAUAAGACUUGGUUGGAUUACAAAUUUUUUUUCAAACAUUCUCUUUUUCUUUCCAAUCACAAUAAAACAUCAGAAUAUUUUCAAAAAUAAAAAUCAGAAAUUCACCUUUCAAAAGCAAACACCCAUGAUUCUGAAAUUGGAGCUUUUAACCUAAAAGAUCAAAGAAGAUGAAGAAGAAAAAACCCAACCCCUGACUCGUUCGGAAAUAAGAGGAGAAACCACCGAAGGAUGAGGGCAUGAUUUAGGAUUUACUUACUUGAUUUUCCUAAAAAUCGAGAAUCAUCGGAGGGUGGAGGUUUGGUGUCAACGGUGGUAACUCGUCAAGUGGAUUGAAUCUUACAACAGCGACGUCGGCCAGGCAACCCUCUCACAGUCAGAUUGCUCUCCCUUCGGGGUCUUGCAUAGUUGCAAAUUUGCAAUUGUAGGUGGUGUCAUCUGUCGACGGUCUUGACAACAAUGGUGUUGUGCGAGUAUGGAAGAUUGGGAGCCUAAAUUGGUAAAGUAAAAAAUGCAUUUUAUAUGGAUUUACAUUGAUGAUAUGAGAUAGGAUUUGAUGGUAACAUAUUAAAUUAAAUUAAAUGAUUGAGUCCAAAAUGAUAUGGAUGGUAUGAGAUAGGAUUUAAUGAAAAAUUAAAUGUAUUUAUAUGGCAGAUUGAGAAUUAAAUCCACAAUUCUUAGUAGUAUUAUAAAUGGCUUUGAGUUAAAUGUGAAAAAGUUUUAUUAAUUUUUUAAGCUUAUUAAAUUUAUAUCUAUUUUUUAUAUAUAAUUUACAUAAUAUUUUUAUAAUUUUUUGAAAUUUCUAAUUAUCUUAUUUUGCGUGUUGCUUGAUAUUGAAUCAAGAUGUUGAGACCAACAUAUCUCGGGAACAUCUGAGUUAAUGAUCGAUAUCGCGACUUUGAACCAUGCUCGUCUCCAAUCCCUUAACAAUGAUGAAAAAUGAGGGCAACACAAUUACCCUUUUUAUUAUUAUCUGUUCAAAAUAAUACAUGCAUUAUAAUAUAAUUUUUUAAAAAUAUUUUACAAAAAAAUAUAUGUGGACCCCGUAUUUAGGCUCAUGCGUUUCCACUCGAUGGCGAGCUUGAUUUUAUUUUGAAAAUAAUUUUAUUUAUUAGAAAAUGACUUGGAGUCGCCACUUAUUUUUGUUUUAUUUUUAAAGGGUAAACAAAAUAAGAAAGAAAACCCUAAGUGUGACUCCUUAUUUUGGAAAAGGUGGUCUGUAAAAAAUUGGAUCGAGUUUGGGGGUCAGGUUACUUAUCGGGAAGGUACGGUAAAGACCGUAGCACCCCUUUAAGUCCCCAAAGUCGGGUCUCUACUAAUAAAAUGAAGUUGACGCAACAAUCAAUAAUAAAAACAAUGAAUACCGACAUGAUCACAUAUUGAAAGCCAAAACAUAUAAGGAUGAUGGUUAGAGUGAGAAAAAAUGCGUACCUGAUCAGCAAGCGGCAACGCGCUAUCAUAAAAUGAGGUUAGUGCACAAAUAAUGGACAUAAAACAUAGCUCACAAGCCACUGAAUCGAGUACAAAAUCAUCAGAUAUCACAAUUAAGUCAAAUUUAUUUUUCGGGGAAACAAUCACUGAUGUUGGGCCUUCACCAAAACCCAAUUUAUUCCUGUAUGAAUUAAUUUCGUAAAUUCCAUCACUUGGAAUUACAGAAUUUAAUUCACACUUAUUUUUAAAAUGUUUUAGAAAUCAUGGAAGUUAUGGAAAUCCAUGCCGAAGAAAAUGGCAACAAAAUUUUAUUAAAAAUGUGAUUUUUGGGACUUGAAAGCUCUAAGGAUGAAGAAUCUGGAAAAUAAUGCGAAAAAAAUGAGAUUUGGAAAAAAAUAUUUUUUUAAACCAAGAAUGGUGAAAAUGAGAAAAAAAAAAAAAAAGGAAGUGACACGUGGCAUAAGGGUGGCCAUGCAAAGGUGGCCAUGCACCAUUCCAAACAAAUCUAACCCCACUUGCUUUUAUUUGAUCCUGAUCUUAAUCCCAUAUUUUGGAUGGUUCCUUCUGGUCAUGUGGACCAUGUUCUUAGUUAAAAUAACAUGCUAUUGGGAUAAAACAUUUUAUAACUUUGACAUGUUCAAGAAUAAAAAAAAUGUCAAUGAUAAGGAAGGAGGACAAGAGGUGCAGCGACCCCAAGUUUAGAAUAGGUUUGGUCCAUAAGAAGUUAUUAACAAAAAAACAUAUUUUCUUCUUGUACUUUUGAAAGUGUUAUAUUUUGAGUAAUGAGAGUAUUUUUUUUUUCCUUUUUUCUUUUUCUUUAAUACAUUAUUGGUGAUUAUUCUUCGCUGGAAUACCCACAUGGCUAUUAGAUGUUUCAUUGCAAAUAUGGUUUUAUAUGAUAGAAUUAUGAUUGAACUUAUAAAACAUAUUUUCUGCAUAUUGUUUAGCUGGGCCUCCCAACUACCUCUCGGUAAUAUCCUCUUAACAUAGGAAGUAUAAACUAAUAGCAAGUGCUAAUAUUUCCCAUUCUUACACAAGAAAGACCCAAGGAAAAGGUAUAUUUAGAAAUUUCAUUUCUAUGUUCCCAAACAAUAGAAAAUUCAAUAUAUGGCACUUCACUCUCUACUUUUCUUUCCCACAUUUUCUCAUAACCCAAAUAUGCUCACCUCUCAUUCCAAGAUCCAACCAAAAUUGAAAAACAAUUACAAAAAUCCUAAUAAAAGAGACAGAUUAUACUACAAUUACACUUUCUUACAAGAAAUUGAAGUGCAUAAGGUAUAACAAUUGAGUGGAACAAAUAAAAACCAGCCUCCUUUAACACAUUUGCUAAUGAAAUACUUGCAGAGACACUUUAAAUUCCUCCAGACUCCAAAAGAUACUGAUCAACAGCCUCGGCACCUGCAGCGACGAGACCAACACCUGAUACGAUAUAAUGCACAAACUCGGCAUGAAAUCAGUAAGACUCAGUUAGAUUACAGAAAAAUUUUCAAACAUUCUUUUUUUCUUUCCAAUCAUAAUAAAACAUCAGAGUAUUUUCAAAAAUAAAAAUCAAAGAUUCCCCUUUCAAAAGCAAACACCUAUGAUUCUGAAAUUGGAGCUUUUAACCCAGAAGAUAAAAAAAGACGAAAAAGAAAAAACCCAACCCCUGACCCGUUCGGAAAUAAGAGGAGAAACCACCGAAUGAUGAGGGCAUGAUUUAGGAUUUACUUACCUGAUUUUCCUAAAAAUCGAGAAUCAUCGGAGGGUGGAGGUUUGGUGUCGGUGGUGGUAACUCGUCAAGUGGACUGAAUCUUACAACGGCGACGUCGGCCAGGCAACCCCUCAUAGUCAGAUUGCUCCCCAUCCGAGGUCUUUCAUAGUUGCAAAUUUGCAAUUGCAGGUGGUGUCAUCUAUCGAUAGUCUUGACAGCAACGGUGGUGUGCAAGGUGUGCGAGAUUGGGAGCCCAAAUUGGUAAAGUAAAAAAUGCAUUUUAUAUGGAUUUACAUUGAUGAUAUGAGAUAGGAUUUGAUGGUAACUUAUUAAAUUAAAUUAAAUGACUGAGUCCAAAAUGAUAUGGAUGGUAUGAGAUGGGAUUUAAUGAAAAAUUAAAUGUAUUUAUGUGGCAGAUUGAGAAUUAAAUCCCCAAUUCUUAGUAUUAUUAUAAAUAGCUUUGAGUUAAAUGUGAAAUUUUUUUGUUUUAUUAAGUUUUUAAGCUUAUUUAAUUUCUAUCUAUUUUUUAUAUAUAAUUUACAUAACAUUUUUAUAAUUUUAUGAAAUUUCUAAUUAUCUUAUUUUGCGUAUUGCUUGAUACUGAAUCAAGAUGUCGAGACUAACAUAUCUCGAGAUCAUCUGAGUCAAUGAUCGAUAUCGCGACUUUGAACCAUACUUGUCUCCAAUCCCUCAACAGUGAUGAAAAAUGAGGCCAACACAGUUGCCUUUUUUAUUAUUAUCAGUUAAAAAUAAUGAAUCUAUAUCCAUGUAUUAUCAAGAAUAAAUAAGUUUAUAUUUAUAAAUUUUUAUUAUAAAUUUAUAUUUACACAUAUCCUUGAUUUUCCUCAAGGUCUUAUUUUUAAUUGAUUACAAAGCAUUAGUACUUAUUUAAUUUAAAAUGUAUUAAAUAAAUAUUAAUAUUACAUAAAUAAAUAAAAGUUGAAUUUGAAUAAAAAUUAUAUAUAUAUAUAUAUAUAUCAUAUUCUACAUGAAUAUGAAUCUAUUAUUAAAGAUACAUGGUAAUAAGUGUUAAUAUUAUAUAAUCAAAUGAGAGUACAAAAAUUUUCUAUUAUUAACAAUACAUUAUUAUAAUAAUGAAAUACUUAAUAUCAUGUAAAUAAAUAAAAGUCAUCAUAAAUUUAAAUUUGAAUUUAUAUUUUUAAACCCAUCAAAUUUAUUUUUAUUUAUUUUUAAUUUUAAGAAUUUUUUCUCCACUUCAAAUAGCAAUAAUAGUGUUUAUUCAUACUAAUUAUACUUAAAAUUGAUGAAAUUUAUGAAAAAAGAAGAAGUAAAAACCCAUACCCUUCAAAUUUACAUUUGUUUUAAUUUUAAGAUUUUUUUUCUCUACUUCAAGUAAUAAUAAUAAUAAUGUUUAUUCAUACUAAUAGCAAUAAAAUUAACGAAAAUGAUGAAAAAUAAAAAAUAAAAAAUAAAUAGUAAAAACUUCAAAAUUUUAAUAAUAAUAAUAAUAUUUAUUCAUACUAAUAAACAAUUCUUCAUAAUCAUAACCUACUAAUUUCCAACAAUUAUAAUUGAAAUUGUUUUGAAUAAACAAUGUAAUUUGUAUUUGAAGUUGAAGAAAAUUGUGAAAAUUAAAUGGGAAGGGUAGGGUUUUAAUUUUUUAUUUUAUUUAAAAUUUUUCCCUCAUUAAUUAAUUAAUUAAUUAAUUAAUUUAUUUAUUUAUUUAUGAAUUUUGAGUGAAAUUAUUAUGAAUCAACAAUUUUAUUGAUAUUUAAAGUUUAAAAAAAAAAAAUCUAUGAAUUUUAAAUAAAUUUUGGAAGGUAUUUGUAAUGGGGUAUUUUUAUUUGCACUUUCCUAUUAUGUUGAAAUAUUGUUUGGUUUCAACAUUGUUUAUUCAAAAUAAUUUCAAUUAUAAUUAUUGGAAAUUAGGAGGUUAUGAUUAUGAAGAAUUGUUUAUUAGUAUGAAUAAACAUUAUUAUUAUUAUUAUUAUUAUUAUUUGAAGCAGAGAAAAAAAUUCAUAAUGCAUAGGGAGACCACAGAUUCUAUGGAUUCAACAAUUGAUAAACCUACUUGUUUAUGUUAUUGUCCCUAACCAUCUAUUCCAUUUUUGAAUUUACUUUUGGUGCAUUUAGUUUGUAACUUAUCUUAUGUUUUACUUAUUUUCAAUUUUUUUUUUUUAAGGUUAAGAUAGUAGUUUUUUUUUUUUUUAAAAAAAAAAAAAAAAACUCUUUUGAGCAAUACUUGAUUCUCUUGCUAUUCUUAUUUUUAACCAUUUUUUCAAUAAGAAAUUAUUUCUUUUUGGCGGAAUUGUAGGAAGUGGAUUGAAUCGGAAAAUUUAUUUGGGCCAGAUUGUGUUUCACUAGAGUCUUGAGAGAUGCAGCUUAGUGAGCUUAUAAUAAAAAGGUAGGCAUUUAAACGGACCAUACUGGUCCGAGUCAAUCUUAGUUUGGCCUAGUGGGCCUUCGGAAUUGCUCCAACAUGAAUUUCAAUGUCAACUUCAAUUUUUAAAAUUAAUAAUUAUACAUUUGUUUUAACUAUUUAUAACAAAUAUUAUCUUUGAAAAGUAAAUUUCAAUUAAUUUUUAUAUUUAAAUAAAAAUUAUUAUUAUUUUAAUUAUUUGUAUCCAAAUCAUACCCGAUAUAUUUGAUUUAUCUUACAAUGUUUCAACAUAAUAGGAAAUUGCAAAUAAAAAUACCCCAUUACAAAUACCUUCCAAAAUUUAUUUAAAAUUCAUAUAUAUUUAUAUAUAUAUAUAUAUAUAUAUAUAUAUAUAUAUAUGAAUUUUAAAUAUCAAUAAAAUUGUUGAUUCAUAAUAAUUUCACUUAGAAUUCAUAAAAAAAUACGAGGAAAAAAAUUAAAAUAAAAAUUUUUAAGAUCCCUACCCUUCCCAUUUAAUUUUAACAAUUUUUUUCUGAGCAUUGAUUUGUUGAUCGAUUAUCAAGGGCCACUCAUUUGCUUUGUUGGAUCUAACUCUCUGUAUGCAUGCUCUGUUUUGGCUUUGUUUGUUUUUUUUUUUUUUUUUUAUCUUUGCUUUCUCUUGUAAAUAUCUGAUGCAUUGUUCCUUCUCUGAACUUGAGAUAUAAAAAUCAUGCUCUUGUUCCUUGUGGAUUCCACCUUCUCCUAGCUCUUUGACAAUCCAUGAAAUAGAGCUAAGUUCAUACUCUAUUUUUAUGUUUUUAUUCUUCUUUGUUUGUUGUUGAUGGUGGGAUGAUAUUAUCAAUGGCUAAGUUGCUGGGAUUUGAGGAGUGAGGUUAUGGGGAAGUGAACUUAAUGGAGGAUUUCUAUGAUCAUAUCUAUGCUCCAAUCUAUUGGUUCAAAAUGUUGGCCAUGAGACUGCAUUGAAGUUUUGGUAUUUGGGAUCACUUUGCCAUCCGGGUUCAGUAAGCAACACAGUGGCAAUAAAGAUGCAUUGGUGUUAUUAAUUUGGGUGAAUAAGUUGGUUGUAUGAAUCGUGAAAGUUCAGGUUGUGCUUUGAGGAGAGUAUAUCUUGCAUCCUAUUAUUUUAAUUAUUAAUUUUGGAUGUUGAAAUAUGAUGUGAUCGCACUUCAUACAUCAUGGUUGUGUGAGGAAAAAGAAAGAUUGAAGAAAUGGUUGUGUGAAAUGGAAAUAAGAAUGAAAAGACCCUGGAGAGGGCAAAAAUGAAAAGAAAAAAAAAAUGAAAUGAUCCCAGAGAGGGCAAAUUAAGAAGGAAGUGAGAUCUUUAAGGUGAAAGUCCCAAAAGUUUACUUCGGGAAGACUCCGAAUGGGGAGUAUAUUUAGGUACAGAUGUGUAUCCUUUGGUGAAAGCUUGAGAACCAUAGUGCAUUGUGUGAUUGCGUGUAAGCAUUUGCAUCAUAAUUGCGUUUGGAAGAAGGAUUUGUAUUAUUUAUCAAGUGUAUGUUUGAAUAUAUUAUUCAAAACUAAAAUGACUUGUUUAUUUUGUAAAUUUAGAAUUGUUGAUAUACUAAACAUAUGAUUGAAUAAGGAAAAUGAUAAUUUUGAUUGUUUUAAAUUUAUAUGGUUAAGGUUUCUUUUAAUGUAUAUAUUGUAAAUGUAAUAUUGUAUUUUGACAUAUGGUUGUGUUAUUGACCUAGAAUUUCUAACCUAUUUGGGUGUAAAACACCCUACUGAGCAACGUGGAAAUGCCCAUCUCUUUAUUUUCUAAAAUUUUAGAUGCAAAUAUAGUUUCAGAGGGACCACAAGAAGUUCAAGAAGCGUUCUAGAAAGUAAAAGAACUAUAAUAAUAGUUGUUUUUAAAUUUAUAUUUCUCUUUUUAUAUGUACCAAUUUGAGUUAUAUGGACUUUUGUAUGUUAAAUUAUAUUUUGUUAAAUUGUAAAAUAUUUUUGGAAAUAUUUUUUUUAACUUAGAGAUUAUUGUAAAUAUUUCAGCUUUUGGGCAGAAAGAUGACUGGUGGAUUUAUUAUACUUGUGAAUAAGAGAUAGUGUGAUGGUUGGUUUUAGAAAAAUAAAAUAUUAUAGUAAAUCUUAACUUAAUAAGAGCAGGAUGAUCAUCAGCCUGCUCUUGAAGCAUCCAGGGAGGGCAUAUUCCAAGAAAGUUACGAAAAAUUGAGAUGAAGAAACUGCAGUGAAGCAAUUUCAUGGAAUUUUUGCUUGGAGACUCACGAAUUACAACCAAUUGCUCAGGGUUGGGAAAAUUGGAAUUGGUGUAAAUUGUGACUGGGUCUUUGUAAAACCCACAUCAUUUAGCUAGAAAAGCUUUGAAAAUACAUUUUAAUUUAAUUUAUAAUUUCUAUGUUAGAAUAUUAGAUCCAAUUCCUAAAAAGCUUAUCAGCCUUGUAUAUAUGGCUAAGCAGGUCAACUUCCCAAGCUCAAGCGCAUUAAGAAAUUCUCAGACCUACCUUUUUUUUAUAGGAUUUUUGGGAAGUUUUACAGCAAUUGAAAACAAAUCCUAAAAGGGUCGGGAAAUUAUUUGAAAAAAUAUGGCAGAUUUGGUCACAUAGGGGACAAAGAUGUGAUAAAGUUGGUACAACGCCCAAAAUUAAACUCUCAAUUAAUUUAAUUAAACAAAUAAUCAUAAAAGAGAUCUGUGUAGACUGUGUGGCAGGUUUUUAAUUUAUGAUUUUUGUUUUUUUAUUUAUACUUUUUGAAAAAGAAAAUUCCAGUGAAAUAUGUUCGUGUAGACUGUGUGGCAGGAUGCAGACUAAACAAAGAAAUUGACACGUGCUUGAAUCCGGCCCUACACAUAGCCCCAUUGGAAAACAGCGGUUUCAUCCUCCGUACUCUUUGGGCGUUAAGUGGGUUCACAAACCAAACAAUGGGCUGCCCCAACACAGCAACACUUAGAUUGAGGACAAACUAUGUAGGUGAAUACCCAAUUAUACCCACAUGAAUCAGCGGUCAAUCUUUCAAAUCUAAGGACAGAGUAGUCAUUCCAAUUCAAACCAAACAAAGCUAUGAGAACUGCUGGCCACAGCCUCUGGUUUCCCCAAAACUUUGGGCAGUAUUCCUCAAAGAAUCAAGUGGGCUAGAUUUAAUAACUUCGUCCACCAUGGUUAGAUUAUUGGGGGCUAGAGUCAAUAACUUCAUCCACCAUGGUUAGAUUAUUGGUAUCUCGAUGGGAGAAGUUGUUUUGAUGGAAAAACAUUGUAUUUUAUUAUUUUGUAAAUUUUAUCAUCACUCAUAUAUAUUAUUUUUUAUUUAAAAUUAAAUAAAAAAUUAAAAUUCUUAGAAAAUACGAAAAGAAAGUAUAUCACAAUCUUUAUUUUCUAUUCUAAAAUUAAAAAAUAAAAAUAAAAUUAUGAAGAAAAAAGUACAUUCCAACUUACAUUAAUUAAGGGAUGAUAUACUGUGCAAAUAAAAAAUAUAAAAAAUAAUUAAAGGUUAAAUAAAUCACUUAAUAAAUCGGUAGUAUGAGUUGAUGGUUUCAUUAUUAGACUAUAACAAAGAUUUUCAUUUUCUUUUUCUUUUUAAAUGCAUUUUAUGGUGGUGUAUAACUUUUUUGUAUAAGGGUUUUUAAAUUGUAAUAUAGAUUAUAUAUAUAGUUGUGUUUUGUCCUAAAUUCUGUCUUCCAAGUUUUCAACAUUAUAUAAAAAUCCCUAAAAUCACCUACUUUAUACGUUUUCUAACAUUAUAUAAAAAUCCCUGAAUUCACCUAUUAGAAAAAUGUUAUUUGGUGCGCUAUCAUUACCAUGGCCUCAACCUCGUGCAAAUAUAUCGAGUGGUUACUAAUAGUAAAAAAUAAAUAAUAAAAACAAAAUAUAUUCAUUAUUAUUAUUAUUAUUUUGUACUUUUACCAUCCAUUAUUCACAUCUUAGCAUAUGAUAGAAAAUACGAUAAAAGAUUAUUUAUGUUGUAUGAUUUUAAGUGAAAUGAUCAAAAUAUUUAAAGAAAAAAUUAAUAAUUCAUGAAGAAUUUUUGGUAAAUUUAUAAAUUUGUAAUAAAUAUUGAUAAAUGAUAAACAAAAUAGUUUUUAAAGUGGUUGCCGUAGUUAAACAUUGUAUCUUAUUAUGAUUUUCCACCUUCAAAACUUAAUAAUAAAAUUUCAUAACAAAUUUUUAUCUAUUUGAAACUUUUGAAAUGUGAAAUCUUUUCUUGGACAUUUUUAUAUAUACAUUUGUGAAUUUUAUCUUUAUUUUUUAUUUAUAAAAUUAAAGGAUAAAAUUAAAAUGUUAAAAAUAAAAGAGAAGUAUAUCCCAACUUGCAUCAAUUAAGAGAAGAUAUAUUAAGCACAUGAAGAAUGCAAAAAAAAUUAAUGAUAAAAUAAAUCACUUAUUAGAUAGUAUUUAAUGAUUUACAUUAUUAGAUUGUAGCAAUGAGUUAUAUUUUUAUUUUUGUGUAUAGGGGAUUUUAAAUUAUAAUAUAUAUUUUUUAUUAUUUUUGAGUUAGUUUUCUUUGUUGAUACAUAGUUUUUUUUUUUGUCUUAGAUAUUGUGUUAUCAGCAGUUUUAAAAGAAAUAAAAAUUAUUUAUCCCACAUCGAUUCAAAACUAAAAAUAUUAUAUAUAUUUAUUAAAACUUUGAUACCCUUAAAAAAUACAAGUACAACCAAUAAGCAAGCAUAGGGAUGGCAACGGGGCGGGUAUGGGACAUGCCACCCCUACCCCAUUUCCAUCCCAGUUAUAUAUUUUUUUGCCCAUCUCUGUCCCAAACUUGGGGCGAGGCGAGUUGGUGUCCCCCUUACCUGUUUACAAAAGAGCUGAUAAUCUCAUCCCCGUUCCAAAUGUAUUUUCGGGAAUUAUGCUUUUACAGAACAUUGGUCUCUGAAAUUUCAAUAAACGUUAUAUGGGUUAUCAUAAACACAUUUAAUCAAGCAUUUGUUGUGCAACAAAACUAAAAAUUGCACAUAUGAGAACAAAAUGUACAUAUCUACAAAUAAACAACCCAAAAAAUCUCAAAUCCAUAAAGCAAAACCAGAAAAAUAUGAAAAACAAGACAUUCUAACAAAGCCUCAAAACUUAGGGUUUUCUUACCUGGAAAUGAGGAAUCUAUAGAAACCCUAAUAAUUUGUUGUCUACGAAUUUGGUUUUUAGUUUUUAGAGCAAAAAUUGUGCUUUUAGGGUGAAAUGGGAAGAAGCAAUUUAGGAAGAAAUGAGAAAACGGGAAGAAAUGAGAAAACGAAAGGCCUCUUAUGAGCAAAAGAACCCUGAGCAAUUUAGGAAGAAAUGAGAAAACGGGAAGAAAUGAGAGCGAAAGCCCUCUAACUCUUUCACGAGCGAAAUAACCCUAAAACUUGAGGAAGAAAUGAUUAUAUAUGGAGGACUUUUUGGGUAUUUUGUAAUGACGUAAGGGUAAAUUGGUAAUUCACAUACGGGGUGGGGCAGAAACUGCAAAACCCAUCCCUGCCUUAAACCCGAUUCGGGUUUUUAUAUAUUCCCCAAACCCGUUUUAUACCCGAAUAGGAUAUUCUCAUACUCGUCCCAAUAGGGACGGGGCGGGUGACCCAAAUUACCCGGAAAAUUGUCAUUCCUAAGCAAGCAUUGAGUUAAAUCCUAAUCUCACAUUCCUGCUCGAAACUUUACACUCACAUAAAAACAACUCACCACUUGACUCGAGGGACUAUUCCGUAACUUCUCACUACCAACAACUAGGCACUAUUCAACCUCUCGCUCACUUAUAAAUUCACUCUCUACCUGCAUAUUCAAAAUGUAUCUCACUACUAUUCUACUCUACUAUUCUACUUUUCGUGGUUUCAUAUCUCACUAUUAUUCUACUUUUCGCGGUUUCAUAUCUCACUACUAUUCGCGUGUUCAAAGUGUGCAUAUUCAAACUGUAUCCCUCCCUGAAUUAAUUGUGAAUUAAUUUAGGCUUCAAAGUGUGAUGCUCUACAAUAUCCCUCCCAGUCAGGCCUCAAAGUAAGAACAACAACAUCUACAAUAUCUGCCAUGGCCACACAACCAAGGCAUGCGGUAUGCCGCAUUUUCUCAUGUCCUUUUCCCAUUUUGUUCCCUCUUUUCAUCUCCAUUUUGUUUUCAAUAUUCCCUUACCUUACUCAUAUUCUCUAAAAUUAGAUAAAAUUAUUAAUUUGAUCAUAUUUAUCUAACAUUUUUAAUUAGUACUACUAGUAUCUUAUUUUCAUAAAUCUAAUUGAAUUUCCUACUUAUUUAUUUAUUGUUUUCAUGACAAAACUUCAUCAGCUUUCAUAUCUUUCCUUACAAUUCUGAGUUCAACUGUCCUUGCGAAAUACCAAUAUGAGAAUGUUUUCCCAUUUGCCCAACACAACAUAGGUAUGCAAAUCUCCUUAUUUGCAUCAUUUAUAUAUUUCAUGAUGGUUGUGGUUUAUGAAAUCCUUGAUUCAGAUGGAACUAUCAAAAUUCAAGAAGAUGGAAGAUAUCUCCUUAUUUUGGGUCAUGUUCGGUUCUUAAGUGGAACAGCAGCUGCAACUUUGUUGAUCCUGAUCUUGAUCCCAUAUUUUGGAUGGUUCUUUCUGAUCAUGUGGACCAUGUUCUUAGUGAAAAUAGCAUGCUAUUGGGAUAAAACAUUUUAUAACUUUGACAUGUUCGAGAAUUAAAAAAAAUGCCAAUGAUAAGGAAUGAGGACAAGAGGAGCAACGACCCCAAGUUUAGAGUAGGUUUGGUCUAUAAGAGGUUAUUAGCAAAAAACAUAUUUUCUUCUUGUACUUUCGAAAGUGUUAUAUAAGUGUUAUAUUUUGAGUAAUGAGAGUAUUUUUUUUUUCCUUUUUUCUUUUUCUCUAAUACAUUAUUGUUGAUUAUUCUUCGCUGGAAUACCCACAAAGCUAUUAGAUGUUUCAUUGCAAAUAUGGUUUUAUAUGAUAGCAUUAUGAUUGAACUAAUAAAAUAAAUUUUCUGCAUAUUGUUUAGCUGGACCUCCCAACUACCUCUCGGUAAUAUCCUCUUAACAUAGGAAAUAUAAACUAAUAGCAAGUGCUAAUCUUUCCCAUUCUUACACAAGAAAGAACCAAGGAAAAGGUAUAUUUAGAAGUUGCAUUUCUAUGUUCCCAAACAAUAGAAAAUUCAAUAUAUGGUGCUUUACUCUCUACUUUUCUUUCCCACCUUUUCUCAUAACCCAAAUAUGCUCACGUCUCUUUCCAAGAUCCAACCAAAAUUGAAACACAAUUACAAAAAUCCUUGUAAAAAAGACAGAUCAUACUACAAUUACACUUUCAUACAAGAAAUUGAAGUGCAGAAAGUAUAAAAAUUGAGUGAAACAAAUAAAAACCAACCUCCUUUCACACACCUGCUAAUGAAAUACUUGUAGAGACACUUUAAAUUUCUCCAGACUCCAAGAGAUAUUGAUCAACAGCCUCGACACUUGCAGCGACGAGACCAGCAUCUGAUACGAUAUAAUGCACAAACUCGGCACGGAAUCGAUAAGACUCGGUUAGAUUACAAAUUUUUUUUCAAACAUUCUUUUUUUCUUUCCAAUCACAAUAAAACAUCAUAAUAUUUUCAAAAAUAAAAAUAAGAGAUUCCCCUUUCAAAAGCAGACACCCAUGAUUCUGAAAUUGGAGCUUUUAACCCAGAAGAUCAAAGAAGAUGAAGAAGAAAAAACCCAACCCCUGACCCGUUCGAAAAUAAGAGGAGAAACCACCGAAGAAUGAGGGCAUGAUUUAGGAUUUACUUACUUGAUUUUCCUAAAAAUCAAGAAUCAUCGGAGGGUGGAGGUUUGGUGUCGGCGGUGGUAACUCGUCAAGUGGACUGAAUCUUACAACGGCGACGUCGGCCAGACAACCCCUUCACAGUUAGAUUGCUUCCCCUCCGGGGUCUUGCAUAGUUGCAAAUUUGCAAUUGUAGGUGGUGUCAUCUGUCGGCGGUCUUGACAACAAUGGUGGUGUGCGAGUGUGGGAGAUUGGGAGCCCAAAUUGGUAAAGUAAAAAAAUGCAUUUUAUAUGGAUUUACAUUGAUGAUAUGAGAUAGGAUUUGAUGGUAACAUAUUAAAUUAAAUUAAAUGAUUGAGUCCAAAAUGAUCUGGAUGGUAUGAGAUGGGAUUUAGUGAAAAAUUAAAUGUAUUUAUAUGGCAGAUUGAGAAUUAAAUCCACAAUUCUUAGUAUUAUUAUAAAUAGCUUUGAGUUAAAUGUGAAAAAAAUUUAUUAAUUUUUUAAGCUUAUUAAGUUUAUAUCUAUUUUUUUUAUAUAUAAUUUACAUAAUAUUUUUAUAAUUUUUUUGAAAUUUCUAAUUAUCUUAUUUUGCGUAUUGCUUGAUAUCGAAUCAAGAUGUCGAGACCAACAUAUCUCGAGAUCAUCCGAGUCAAUGAUCGAUAUCGCGACUUUGAACUAUGCUCAUCUCCAAUCCCUCAAUAGUGAUGAAAAAUAAGGGCAACGCAAUUACCUUUUUUAUUAUUAUCAGUUCAAAAUAAUACAUGUAUUAUAAUAUAAUUUUUUUAAAAUAUUUUACAAAAAAAUAUAUGUGGACCCCGUAUUUAGGCUCAUGCGCUUCCAUUCGAUGGCAAACUCGAUUUUAUUUUGAAAAUGAUUUUAUUUAUUAAAAAAUGACUUGGAGUCGCCACUUAUUUUUGUUUUAUUUUUAAAGGGUAAAGAAAAUAAGAAAGAAAACCCUAUGUGUGACUACUUAUUUUGAAAAAGGUGGUCUGUGAAAAACCGAAUCAGGUUCGGGGGUCAGGUUACUUAUUGGGAAGGUACAGUAAAAACCGUAGCACCCCUUUAAGUUCCCAAAGUCGGGUCUCUACUAAUAAAAUGAAGCUAACACGACAAUGAAUAAGAAAAAUAAUGAAUAUUGACAUGAUCACAUAUUGAAAGCCAAAACAUAUAAGGAUGAUGGUCAGAGUGAGAAAAAAUGCAUACCUGAUCAGCAAGCGGUAACGCGCUAUCAUAAAAUGAGGUUAGUGCACAAAUAAUGGACAUAAAACAUAGCUCACAUGCCACUGAAUCGAGUACAAAAUCAUCAGAUAUCACAAUUAAGUUAAAUUUAUUUUUCGAGGAAACAAUCACUGAUGUUGGGCCCCCACUGUAGACCCUCAAAUUUGUCCCUUUAGCACAUGUCUUUGAGUUCGUUUUCAGUACUUCAAAAUAGUUCCUUGGUGGCCCAUGGCUACUCAUACCACUUACCUUUUUCUGAGUCACCUCGGAGAUUUUGGUCGAGGGAUUAUCUGACCCAUUAUUGUGACCCUUGGCAACCCUAUUUUAGACUUAGGCUUUUCGUUCAUUUUUAGGAUAGCUUUUAGGGUAGCUCAUUUAGGCACCCUAGGCCCACUUAGGCACUUAGGCCCAUUUAGGCACCCUAGAUCCACUUAGGCACUUAGGCCCAUUAGGUCCACCUUGGCCCACUUAGUCUCACCUUGGCCCAUUAGUCUUUGUUUUUAGUAUGACUUAUAUGGUUGUAUGACGCAUUUAUCUCAUUUACUUAUUUAUUUAUCUUUAUUUUUUAUUAUUACUAACCACUUUUAUUUGAUCAUUUAUUAUGGUUUUAUUUAUUCAUUUGUUUUGAUUUAUUUUCAUUAUUAUCAAUCAUUUUUUAGUUAUUUAUUUAUUUAGUAUUCUUACUUAUUUAUUUAUUAUCUUGUUAUUUAUUCAUUUAUCUAUUAUUAUCAUUUUAUAUUCUCCGAUUUAUUUAUUUAGUUAUUUAUUUAUUUUAUUAUUUAUUAUCUAUUUUAUUAUUUAUUUAUUUAUUUAAUUUAAUAAUUUGAAAUUUUUAUGGAAGAAGUCUACCAUUGGAUAAGUUUUUGAAAACGGUAAAACUCUUUAAAUGAUAUGCAUGGAUUGUGGGUGAUAUGCGUGGAUUGGUAUUGUUUGAAAUUAAAAAAAAAUGAGUUUUUCCGGUGCAUAAGAUAAAAUCUGGAGGGAGGAAGACUCCUCACGUAGGAGGACUAUUAUUUGCUAUAAAAAAGCUCUAACAGAUAGGUAUAAAGGGAGGACUUUCGGCACAUAGAAAAAAAAAAAAAAAAGAGAGAGAGGCGGAAAAAUUGGAUUUUCAGAGAAGACUUUCUAGUGAGAAGCUGUCGGUGGAGAAGAAGGAGAGGGCGGUGGAAGAAAUCUCAGACGACAAACCAGUGGGAUCUCCUUGCCAGAGGAGAGCGUUCCUCGGUAUGUUUGUUGAGAACUCCUUACUUAUUGAUAUUAUCACUUUGUUCUGUAUCCUCUCUGGUUAGUGUUCUUUUACCAUUGUUUUUUUGUUAGGAUAUGAAAGUGAUAUUGGUCUUCUCUUCUCUCAUAUUCUUUUAGUUUCAUCUAAUCAUAAAUCUGAACGUAGUCUCAAUCACACCACUGGUCUGCGAAUCUAUCGACUUCAGAAAGAAAUGGGAUCCCAUUUAAUGUCUAGUUUCCUUGUUUAUUUUGUUAUGGAUAUCCUGUAUUUUGUUUCGUUUACUACUCUACAUCUAGUAUCCCGAUCCAUGUCCCUGUUGUUGGCUCACAUCUUUGAAUUUACUCCGGACGUUUGGUUUCGUGUUCUGAUUUGCACUUGAGAGAGAGGGUUCAGUACAUGACAAGCCAUAUAUCGUGUUAAAUGGAAAUUUGGAUUUUUUUUUCACUGGAGAUUUUAGAUUUCAAAAAUUGGUUUGCAUAGGAACUCUUCCCGAAGUCGGACCUUCGACAAGCCAUUCAAUUCCUAGUCAUUCCUAAUCUCUAGCAUUCCUCUAUCUGAAUUUCAGAUAGAUUUGGUUACCCACUUCCCGAAAACACUAGAAACUGAGUCCACUCCUUUUAGGUCACUGCUUUCUCAUCAUUCGCGGGAUGGGUCUUCCACAUCUGCUUGUGUUCCUGUUCCUGACAUGAAGACCCUAACUAGUUCGUUGCGAUCUUCUCAUUUUGAAGCCCUAGAUGAUCAAAGUUUGGUUCCUACUUCGCCAUGGUCUUGGAACAGAGAAACUAAACCACCAUUCUCUUCAUACCUUCCUCGAGAAAUUGAACCCACUAUGGUGGGUGCUGGGCUUGUAAAUCUAGGCAACACAAUGCUUUCUUAAUGCAGUGCUCCAAUGCUUCACGCACACUGUCCCCCUUGUCCAGAGCCUUCGUUCUUGCAAUUAUGCCAUGCCUUGUCAUAGUUUGUGUUUCUUCCAUUGGUUUCUGUUUAUAUUAAAGAAUGAUCCGACUUUGUUAGUUCCAUUGUAAUAUCCAGAAGUUCCUUCUUCUUUCUUCCAUGUUCAAGCCUGUUGAAAGUGCAUGUAUGAUACAUGGCUUUGAAUGAUUGCCCAUCUACGUGUUUCCCUUCCCCUUGCCAUCCUUUUGCUAUAUCUUAUAGCCUUUGUUCAUGGUUUGUGGGUCGGUUUGCAAGAACGUCUUAUCGUUUGCAAUGAUUAGCACCCGAGCCAUCCUCAUUUGGCUGAUCAAUGUCACUGGGGAAGUCCUUGGAGGGCGGUUGCUACUCUUGAUAUUACAGGUGAUAUGGUGGUAUUUGUGGGUUUUGUUGAGGGUAUUUGGGUUCAGAUCGAAACUGCCCAUCUGAGGUCCUGGAUGAAAGAAUCAAUCCUGUGUCAGUUGUUUGUCUCAAUUAUCUAUAAGAUAGACAAGUGUCCUUAUUAGCAACAGGUGAAAGGAUGGGUAUGCAGAUAGAUCCAAGCCAAGUUGGAGAGUGGUGUCGGACACGCGCUUGAUGAAGGAAACAUUGAGGUUCUUGGAUAUAAACAUGGUCCUACCAUCAGAUCUGAUGUGACAACCAAUAUGUUGUGUCACAAGGAAGAAAUAUUUGAACCAAUACUUCUCUGCAUGGCCAUGCGAAUUCCGAGCAUAUAUACUCCUCGACUGGGACGACGUUCAUAAUGUUGACCACGUGUGAACUAUUUUUUGAAGGUGGGAAUUUUGCGAAUUCAUUUCAGCGCCCAAUUUUGUGUGUAUUUGAUCAGACUUUGGGCUAUCAGUUGGAAUCCAGCACGACUUUAGUUAUCGGCCGCUCGUUCACGAUGUGCUAGAUUGGAAGCUUAAUAGGUUGGAGUAUGGGGCAGACCUCUAGCACUGCUAGGUUCGCCUGACACAGGUGGACAGAUUGCUUAUAUGCUGGAUCAAGUGCGUGCCUUGGAAAAUGAGAUGCUUCUUAAGAUACAAAAGCAAGGACUUGAUGUCAUUCCUAAAAUUCUCAUAGUUACCCGACUUAUACCUGAUGCAAAGGGGACCACACGCAAUCAGAGACUUGAAAGAAUCAGUGGUACAGAACAUACACAUAUUUUUUGAGUGCCAUUUAGAAGAGAAAAUAGUAUUCUGCGGAAAUGGAUCUCAAGGUUUGAUGUAUGGCCAUAUCUGGAAACCUUUGCAGAGGAUGUAUCAAAUGAAAUUGCUGCCGAGCUACAGGGAGUUCCAGAUCUGAUCAUUGGCAACUAUAGUGAUGGGAAUCUUGUUGCAUCUUUACUAUCUUAUAAGCUGGGAAUUACGCAGUGCAAUAUUGCUCAUGCAUUGGAGAAAACAAAAUAUCCAGAGUCUGAUAUAUAUUGGAGAAAAUUUGAGGAUAAGUACCAUUUCUCAAGCCAAUUUACUGCUGAUCUAAUUGCAAUGAACAAUGCAGAUUCUAUAAUCACCAGUACAUACCAAGAGAUUGCCGGAAGCAAGAAUCAUGUUGGACAGUAUGAGAGCCACACAGCCUUCACUCUUCUAGGGCUGCACCGAGUUGUUCAUGGCAUUGAUUUUUUAUCCCAAGUUUAAUAUCAUAUCUCCAGAAGCAGACAUGCCCAUAUACUUCUCAUACUCAGAAAAAGAAAUGGUUGAAAGUCACAUGCAGAAACUCGUCCAUAUGGAAAACUUGAAAAUAUGCACAUAUUCCUUUUUGAUCCUUGCUGCCAGUUUUCACUCAACCACUGACCCUUCAACUUCAAAAAUUCAUUUUGACAACUUUAGGAUAUCUGUAAAAAAUUUCCAGAAAUUUUAUGACUUUCCUCACUUCUUGAACUUGAAUUUGAGGUUUUGUUUGAGUUAGAAAGUCAUUCUGAGAUAGAAGAUAUAAAUGAGUCUUUAGGGGGACUCCGUUUUCACAUAGUUCUGGACACCCAAGAUCUUUUGGAAAAAAUAAAAUACUAGAGGACUUUUUAAAAUUGAUUCAAUAUUUUUUCUCAAUUAUGAGCUUCUUGAAAUUGAUUUUAGACACAUAAAAUAUUAGAAAAUAUGCAUUUUUGAGGGAGAUAUGAUUUUUCAAAGUUGUGCCUACUGCGCAUGCUGGAGUUUGUACAUCUGAUUACAUUUAUAGUUUUAAAAAUAUUUUUGAGUACUAUUCGACCCCGAAUUUAUUUUUUAUGUGAUAUAGACAUUUUGAAAUAUGUGUGUGAUUUUUUUUUAUGAUUUUAUAGGAUCAUUUAUUAUUUUAAAAAAAUUCAUUUAUGCACGUCACUUUUCCUUAUCUAAUCUGGACUUUGUAGAACCUUUAGGUGCCUUUGCAAUAAUCUGUCUUUUGAAUGAGUGUUUGGCUUUUGGUAUGUUAAUCUAGGUGUGUAGGAGUUGUUUCCUGAAACUUUUUGUAAUCAAAUUCCACUCUAAGCCAUUUUUUUAGAAAUUGUUUUACGAUGCUUCAUUUUCUAACCGCAUGCUGAUGGUUUUAUACCUUACUUGAAAUUGUUAUUAUUUUUGGAGUCAUUUAAUUUGUCUUAGCUCAAUUUUGGCUUUGAAACUGUAUAUUAGACAUAAUGGAUAUUUCAUAUAAUUUAUGCUUGCCCUAACCAAUCUAGCAUUUUUCGAGGAAUCUUAUAAAAUAUACUUGCUAUCCAGGUACGUUCUCUAUCCUCUAAUUCCAAAAUUCUAUGAAAAUGCAUGCUAUCAUGAGCUAUAUCCAUGCUUUGAUUUAAUCCUUGGGUGCUUAGAUGUAUGUUUGACUUGCUUGGAUAAAAUGCAUGUUGUGUGCUAUAUCUCUAUACUAACUUUGAUGUCUUGUGAUAGCGCUUGAAAAGUCGUUCAGGUACGUACUUCGAUUUUCUCUCAUGGUUUGUUUUCUUAUUAGGCAUGCAAUAUUUGAAAUCACCUAGUCUACUUAGGUAUCCAUGAUCAACCAUUUAAUUGCCACGCUUCCCUUAACUUAGUCAGUAGAGACCUUUUUAGGGCUUAGAGGGGUGCUACCUUCUAGAGGUACCUUCCCAAUAAGUAACCUGAUCCCCAGACUUAGACUCGGGUUUCUCAAAGACAUGCUUUUUCCAAAACUAUGGAGUCACUUUUUAGGGUUUUUCUUUCUUGUUUUAUUUUCCCUUCAAAAUAAAAAUAAAAUAGGUGACGACUCCAACUUUUUUUUUUUCAAAAAUCAAUUUUUCACAAAUAAAAAAGCGAGUCUCGCCGAUCGAGUGGGGGCGCACAUGAAAACUGCGGGUCCACACCCACCAAAACCCAAUUUAUUCCUGCAUGAAUUAAUUCCGUAAAUUCCAUCACUUGGAAUUACAUAAUUUAAUUCACACUUAUUUUUAAAACGUUUUAGAAAUCAUGGAAGUUAUGGAAAUACCUGCCGAAGAAAAUGGCAACAAAAUUUUAUUAAAAAUGUGAUUUUUGGGACUUGAAAGCUCUAAGGAUGAAGAAUCUGGAAAAUAAUGCGAAAAAAAUGAGAUUUGGAAAAAAAUAUUUUUUUAAACCAAGAAUGGUGAAAAUGAGAAAAAGAAAAAAGAAAAAAAAAGGAAGUGACAUGUGGCAUAAGGGUGGCCAUGCUAAGGUGGCCAUGCACCAUUCCAAACAAAUCUAACCCCAUUUGCUUUUAUUUGAUCCUGAUCUUAAUCCCAUAUUUUGGAUGGUUCCUUCUGGUCAUGUGGACCAUGUUCUUAGUGAAAAUAGCAUGCUAUUGGGAUAAAACAUUUUAUAACUUUGACAUGUUCAAGAAUAAAAAAAAAAGUCAAUGAUAGGGAAGGAGGACAAGAUGUGUAGCGACCCCAAGUUUAGAGUAGGUUUGGUCCAUAAGAGGUCAUUAGCAAAGAACAUAUUUUCUUCUUGUACUUUCGAAAGUGUUAUAUUUUGAGUAAUGAGAGUAUUUCUUUUCCUUUUUUCUUUUUCUCUAAUACAUUAUUGGUGAUUAUUCUUCGCCAGAAUACCCACAAGGCUAUUAGAUGUUUCAUUGCAAAUAUGGUUUUAUAUGAUAGAAUUAUGAUUGAACUUAUAAAACAUAUUUUCUACAUAUUGUUUAGCUGGGCAUCCCAACUACCUCUCGGUAAUAUCCUCUUAACAUAGGAAGUAUAAACUAAUAGCAAGUGUUAAUCUUUCCCAUUCUUACACAAGAAAGACCCAAGGAGAAGGUAUAUUGAGAAAUUGCAUAUCUAUGUUCCCAAACAAUAGAAAAUUCAAUAUAUGACACUUCACUCUCUACUUUUCUUUCCUACAUUUUCUCAUAACCCAAAUAUGCUCACCUCUCAUUCUAAGAUCCAACCAUUGAAAAACAAUUACAAAAAUCCUAAUAAAAGAGACAGAUCAUACUACAAUUACACUUUCUUACAAGAAAUUGGAGUGUAGAAGGUAUAACAAUUGAGUGAAACAAAUAAAAACCAACCUCCUUUAACACACCUGCUAAUGAAAUACUUAUAGAGACACUAUAAAUUCCUCCAGACUCCAAAAGAUACUGAUCAACAGCCUCGGCACUUGCAGCGACGAGACCAACACCUGAUAUGAUAUAAUGCACGAACUCGACACAGAAUCGGUAAGACUCAGUUAGAUUACAGAAAAAUUUUCAAACAUUCUUUUUUUCUUUCCAAUCAUAAUAAAACAUCAGAAUAUUUUCAAAAAUAAAAAUAAGAGAUUCCCCUUUCAAAAGCAAACACCCAUGAUUUUGAAAUUGGAGCUUUUAACCCAGAAGAUCAAAGAAGACGAAGAAGAAAAAACCCAAUCCCUGACCUGUUCAGAAAUAAGAGGAGAAACCACCGAAUGAUGAAGACAUAAUUUAGGAUUUACUUACCUGAUUUUCCUAAAAAUCGAGAAUCAUCGGAGGGUGGAGGUUUGGUGUCGGCGGUGGUAACUAGUCAAAUGGACUAAAUCUUACAACGGGGACGUCGGCCAGGCAACCCCUCACAGUUAGAUUGCUCCUCCUCCGGGGUCUUUCAUAGUUGCAAAUUUGCAAUUGCAAGUGGUGUCAUUUGUCUGCGGUCUUGACAGAAAAGGUGGUGUGCAAGGUGUGGGAGAUUGGGAGCCCUAAUUGGUAAAGUAAAAAAUGCAUUUUAUAUGGAUUUACAUUGAUGAUAUGAGAUAGGAUUUGAUGGUAAAUUAUUAAAUUAAAUUAAAUGAUUGAGUCCAAAAUGAUAUGGAUGGUAUGAGAUAGGAUUUAAUGAAAAAUUAAAUGUAUUUAUAUGGCAGAUUGAGAAUUAAAUCCCCAAUUCUUAGUAUUAUUAUAAAUAGCUUUGAGUUAAAUGUGAAAUUUUUUUGUUUUAUUAAUUUUUUAAGCUUAUUUAAUUUCUAUCUUUUUUUUUAUAUAUAAUUUACAUAACAUUUUUAUAAUUUUAUGAAAUUUCUAAUUAUCUUAUUUUGUGUAAUGCUUGAUACCGAAUCGAGAUGUCAAGACCAACAUGUCUCGGGAUCAUCUGAGUCAAUGAUCGAUAUCGCGACUUUGAACCAUACUCGUCUCCAAUCCCUCAACAAUGAUGAAAAAUGAGGCCAACGUAGUUGCCUUUUUUAUUAUUAUCAGUUAAAAAUAAUGAAUCUAUAUCCAUGUAUUAUCAAGAAUAAAUAAGUUUAUAUUUAUAAAUUUUUAUUAUAAAUUUAUAUUUACACAUAUCCUUGAUUUUCCUCAAGGUUUUAUUUUUAAUUGAUUACAAAGCAUUAGUACUUAUUUAAUUUAAAAUGUAUUAAAUAAAUAUUAAUAUUAUAUAAAUAAAUAAAAGUUGAAUUUGAAUAAAAAAUUUAUAUAUAUAUAUAUAUAUAUAUAUAUAUAUAUAUAUAUAUAUAUAUAUAUAUAUAUAUAUAUAUAUAUAUAUAUCAUAUUCUACAUGAAUAUGAAUCUAUUAUUAAAGAUACAUGGUAAUAAGUGUUAAUAUUAUAUAAUCAAAUGAGAGAGUACAAAAAUGUUCUAUUAAUAACAAUACAUUAUUAUAAUAAUAAGAUACUUAAUAUCAUGUAAAUAAAUAAAAGUCGUCAUAAAUUUAAAUUUGAAUUUAUAUUUUAAAACCCAUCACAUUUAUUUUUAUUUUUUUAAAAUUUUAAGAAUUUUUUCUCCACUUCAAAUAGCAAUAAUAGUGUUUAUUCAUACUAAUUAUACUUAAAAUUGAUGAAAAUUAUGAAAAAAGAAAAAGAAGUAAAAACCCAUACCCUUCAAAUUUAUAUUUGUUUUAAUUUUAAAAUUUUUUUCUCUACUUCAAGUAAUAAUAAUAAUAAUGUUUAUUCAUACUAAUAACAAUAAAAUUAAUGAAAAUGAUGAAAAAAAAAAUAGUAAAAACUUCAAAUUUGUAAUAAUAAUAAUAUUUAUUCAUACUAAUAAACAAUUCUUCAUAAUCAUAACCUACUAAUUUCCAACAAUUAUAAUUGAAAUUAUUUUGAAUAAACAAUGUAAUUUGUAUUUGAAGUUGAAAAAAAUUGUGAAAAUUAAAUGGGCAGGGUAGGGCUUUAAUUUUUUUUAUUUUGUUUUAAAUUUUUCCCUCAUAAAUUUAAUUUAAUUUAAUUUUUUUUUUAUGAAUUCUCAGUGAAAUUAUUAUGAAUCAACAAUUUUAUUGACAUUUAAAGUUUUAAAAAAAAAUCUAUGAAUUUUAAAUAAAUUUUGGAAGGUAUUUGUAAUGGGGUAUUUUUAUUUGCACUUUCCUAUUAUGUUGAAACAUUGUUUGGUUUCAACAUUGUUUAUUCAAAAUAAUUUCAAUUAUAAUUAUUGGAAAUUAGGAGGUUAUGAUUAUGAGGAAUUGUUUAUUAGUAUGAAUAAACAUUAUUAUUAUUAUUUGAAGCAGAGAAAAAAUUCAUAAUGCAUAGGGAGACCACAGAUUCUAUGGAUUCAACAAUUGAUAAGCCUACUUGUUUAUGGUAUUGUCCCUAACCAGCUAUUCCAUUUUUGAAUUUACUUUUGGUGCAUUUAGUUUGUAACUUGUCUUAUGUUUUACUUAUUUUCAAUUUUUUUUUAAGGUUUAGAUAGUUUUUUUUUUUUUUUAUUUAGAAAAAAAACCUCUUUUGAGCCAUAACUUGAUUCUCUUGCUAUUCUUAUUUUUAACCAUUUUUUCAAUGAGAAAUUAGGUCUUUUUGGCGGAAUUGUAGGAAGUGGAUUGAAUCGAAAAAUUUAUUUGGGCCAGAUUGUGUUUCACUAGAGUCCUGAGAGAUGCAGCUUAGUGAGCUUAUAAUAAAAAGAUAGGCAUUUAAACGGACCAUACUAGUCUGAGUCAUUCUUAGUUUGGCCUAGUGGGCCUUCAGAAUUGCUCCAACAUGAAUUUCAACGUCAACUUCAAUUUUUAAAAUUAAUAAUUAUACAUUUGUUUUAACUAUUUAUAACAAAUAUUAUCUUUGAAAAGUAAAUUUCAAUUAAUUUUUAUAUUUAAAUAAAAAUUAUUAUUAUUUUAAUUAUUUGUAUCCAAAUCAUACUCAAUAUAUUUGAUUUAUCUUACAAUGUUUCAACAUAAUAGGAAAGUGCAAAUAAAAAUACCCCAUUACAAAUACCUUCCAAAAUUUAUUUAAAAUUCAUAGAUUUUUUUUUUUUUUUUUACUUUAAAUAUCAAAAAAAUUGUUGAUUCAUAAUAAUUUCACUUAGAAUUCAUAAAAAAAUAGGAGGAAAAAAAAUUAAAAUAAAAAAUUUUAAGAUCCCUACCCUUCCCAUUUAAUUUUAACAAUUUUUUUUUUCUGAGCAUUGAUUUGUUGAUCGGUUAUCAAGGGCCACUCAUUUGCUUUGUUGGAUCUAACUCUUUAUAAGCAUGCUCUGUUUUGGCUUCGUUUUUUUUAUCUUUGCUUUCUCUUGUAAAUAUCUGAUGCAUUGUUCCUUCUCUGAACUUGAGAUAUAAAAACCAUGCUCUUGUUCCUUGUGGAUUCCACCUGCUCCUAGCUCUUUGACAAUCCAUGAAAUAGAGCUAAGUUCAUACUCUAUUUUUAUGUUUUUAUUAUUCUUUGUUUGUUGUUGAUGGUGGGAUGAUAUUAUCAAUGGCCAAGUUGCUGGGAUUGGAGGAGUGAGGUUAUGGGGAAGUGAACUUAAUGGAGGAUUUUUGUGAUCAUAUCUAUGCUCCAAUCUAUUGGUUCAAAAUGUUGGCCACGAGACUGCAUUGAAGUUUUGGUAUUUGGCAUCACUUUGCCAUCUGGGUUCAGUAAGCAACACAGUGGCAAUAAAGAUGCAUUGGUGUUAUUAAUUUGGGUGAAUAAGUUGGUUGUAUGAAUUGUGAAAGUUCAAGUUGUGCUUUGAGGAGAGUAUAUCUUGCAUCCUACUAUUUUAAUUAUUAAUUUUGGAUGUUGAAAUAUGAUGUGAUCGCACUUCAUAUGCAUCAUGGUUGUGUGAGGAAAAAAAAAGAUUAAAGAAAUGGUUGUGUGAAAUGGAAAUAAGAAUGAAAAGACCCUGGAUAGGGCAAAAAUGAAAAGAAAAGAAAAGAAAAAAAAAUGAAAUGAUCCUAGAGAGGGCGAAUUAAGAAGGAAGUGAGAUCUCUAAGGUGAAAGACCCAAAAGUUUACUUCGGGAAGACUCCAAAUGGGGAGUAUAUUUAGGUAUAGACGUGUAUCCUUUGGUGAAAGUUUGAGAACCACAAUGCAUUGUGUGAUUGCGUGUAAGCAUUUGCAUCAUAAUUGCAUUUGGAAGAAGGAUUUGUAUUAUUUAUCAAGUGUAUGUUUGAAUAUAUUAUUCAAAACUAAAUGACUUGUUUAUUUUCUAAAUUUAGAAUUGUUGAUAUACUAAACAUAUGAUUGAAUAAGGAAAAUGAUAAUUUUGAUUGUUUUAAAUUUGUAUGGUUGAGGUUUCUUUUAGUGUAUAUAUUGUAAAUGUAAUAUUAUAUCUUGACAUAUGAUUGUGUUAUUGACCUAGAAUUUCUAACCUAUUUGGGUGUAAAACACCCUACUAAGCAACGUGAAAAUACUCACCCCUUUAUUUUCUAAAAUUUUUAGAUGUAGAUAUAGUUUCAGAGGGGCCACAAGAAGUUCAAGAAGCGUUCUAGAAAGCAAAAGAACUAUAAUAAUAGUUGUUUUUAAAUUUAUAUUUCUCCUUUUACAUGUACCAAUUUGAAUUAUAUGGGCUUUUGUAUGUUAAAUUAUAUUUUGUUAGAUUGUAAAACAUUUUUGAAAAUAUUUUUUUUGACUUAGAGAUUAUUGUAAAUAUUUGAGCUUUUGGGCAAAAAGAUGACUGGUGGAUUUAUUAUACUUGUGAAUAAGAGAUAAUGUGAUGGUUGGUUUUAGAAAAAUAAAAUAUUACAGUAAAUCUUAACUUAAUAAAUUUAUUUAAAAUUAGACGUUUUAUUAUUUAAAAAAAAAAAGUUUCAAAGUGUUUUGAUUGAUUGUUAGUGUGGAUAGGAAUAACCCUUAGGGUCAAACCCUUGGGCCGACUAUGUAGGUGAAUACCCAAUUGUACCCACAUGAAUCAGCCGUCAAUCUUACAAAUCCAAGGGCAAAGUAGUCAUUCCAAUUCAAACCAAACCAAGCCAUGAUUCAUGAAAACUGCUGGCCACAGCUCCUGGUUUUUCCCAAACUUUGGGCACCAAAUCCAAACCCAUCUCUUGCUAUAUAACCAACCCACCUUCACCUCAUCUUCUUCAUCACAACACAACUACCUUGAUUUAUAGAGAGAUCUUCUAUAUCCAUUCACUACUCAGAAUCACCUCUUUCUAUUGUUGAUUGUUGUUUGGGUUUCGGAGAAAGAAAAUUAAGAAGAUGAGUCAUAUGGGGAAAGCUUGGUUAGUGGCAGCAAGUGUGGGAGCAGUGGAGGCACUCAAGGAUCAGGGCUUCUGCAGAUGGAACUACACUCUGAGGUCUAUUCACCAGCAUGCCAAGACCAACCUCAGGUCCUUUGCUCAGGCCAAGAAGCUCUCUUCUUCCUCUUCCGCCAUGGUUUCCAGCAGAGUGAGAGAGGAGAAGGCCAAGCAGUCAGAGGAGUCUCUGAGGACUGUCAUGUACUUGAGCUGCUGGGGACCCAACUGAAGAAGAAGAUAUGAAGAUGGAUGAUCAUCAGCCUGCUCUUGAAGCAUCCAGGGAGGGCAUAUUCCAAGAAAGUAACGGAAAAUUGAGAUGAAGAAGCUGCAGUGAAGCAAUUUCAUGGAAUUUUUGCUUGGAGACUCACGAAUUACAACCAAUUGCUCAGGGUUGGGAAAAUUGGAAUUGGUGUAAAUUGUGACUGGGUCUUUGUAAAACCCACAUCAUUUAGCUAGAAAAGCUUUGAAAAUACAUUUUAAUUUAAUUUAUAAUUUCUAUGUUAGAAUAUUAGAUCCAAUUCCUAAAAAGCUUAUCAGCCUUGUAUAUAUGGCUAAGCAGGUCAACUUCCCAAGCUCAAGCGCAUUAAGAAAUUCUCAGACCUACCUUUUUUUUAUAGAAUUUUUGGGAAGUUUUACAGCAAUUGAAAACAAAUCUUAAAAGGGUCGGGAAAUUAUUUGAAAAAAUAUGGCAGAUUUGGUCACAUAGGUGAUAAAGAGGUGAUAAAGUUGGUACAACGCCCAAAAUUAAACUCUCAAUUAAUUUAAUUGAACAAAUAAUCAUAAAAGAGAUUUUUUUAAUUUAUGAUUUUUAUUUUUUUAUUUAUACUUUUUGAAAAAGAAAAUUCCAGUGAAAUAUGUUCGUGUAGACUGUGUGGCAGGAUGCAGACUAAACAAAGAAAUUGACACGUGCUUGAAGUCCGGCCCUACACAUAGCCCCAUUGGAAAACAGCGGUUUCAUCCUCCGUACUCUUUGGGCGUUAAGUGGGUUCACAAACCAAACAAUGGGCUGCCCCAACACAGCAACACUUAGACUGAGGACAAACUAUGUAGGUGAAUACCCAAUUAUACCCACAUGAAUCAGUGGUCAAUCUUUCAAAUCUAAGGACAGAGUAGUCAUUCCAAUUCAAACCAAACAAAGCUAUGAGAACUGCUGGCCACAGCCUCUGGUUUCCCCAAAACUUUGGGCAGUAUUCCUCAAAGAAUCAAGUGGGCUAGAGUUAAUAACUACGUCCACCAUGGUUAGAUUAUUGGGGGCUAGAGUUAAUAACUUCAUCGACCAUGGUUAGAUUAUUGGUAUCUCGAUGGGAGAAGUUGUUUUGAUGGAAAAACAUUGUAUUUUAUUAUUUUGUAAAUUUUAUCAUCACUCAUAUAUAUUAUUUUUUAUUUAAAAUUAAAUAAAAAAUUAAAAUUCUUAGAAAAUACGAAAAGAAAGUAUAUCACAAUCUUUAUUUUCUAUUCUAAAAUUAAAAAAUAAAAAUAAAAUUAUGAAGAAAAAAGUACAUUCCAACUUACAUUAAUUAAGGGAUGAUAUACUGUGUAAAUAAAAAAUAUAAAAAAUAAUUAAAGGUUAAAUAAAUCACUUAAUAAAUCGGUAGUAUGGGUUGAUGGUUUCAUUAUUAGACUAUAACAAGGAUUUUCUUUUUCUUUUUCUUUUUAAAUGCAUUUCAUGGUGGUGUAGAAUUUUUUUGUAUAAGGGUUUUUAAAUUGUAAUAUAGAUUAUACAUAUAGUUGUGUUUUGUCCUAAAUUCUGACUUCCAAGUUUUCAACAUUAUAUAAAAAUUCCUAAAAUCACCUACUUCGUAGGUUUUAUAACAUUAUAUAAAAAGCCAUGAAUUCACCUAUUAGAAAAAUGUUAUUUGGUGCGCUAUCAUUACCAUGACCUCAAUCUCGUGCAAAGAUACCGAGUGGUUACAAAUAGUAAAAAAUAAAUAAUAAAAACAAAAUAUAUUCAUUAUUAUUAUUAUUAUUUUGUUCUUUUAUCAUCCAUUAUUCACAUCUUAGCAUAUGAUAGAAAAGAUGAUAAAAGAUUAUUUAUGUUAUAUGAUUUUAAGUGAAAUGAUCAAAAUAUUUAAAGAAAAAAUUAAUAAUUCAUGAAGAAUUUUUGGUAAAUUUAUAAAUUUGUAAUAAAUAUUGAUAAAUGAUAAACAAAGUAGUUUUUAAAGUGGUUGCAGCAGUUAAACAUUGUAUCUUAUUAUGAUUUUCCACCCUCAAAACUUAAUAAUAAAAUUUCAUAACAAAUUUUUAUCUAUUUGAAACUUUUGAAAUGUGAAAUCUUUUCUUGGACAUUUUUAUAUAUACAUUUGUGAAUUUUAUCUUUAUUUUUUAUUUAUAAAAUUAAAGGAUAAAAUUAAAAUGUUAAAAAUAAAAGAGAAGUAUAUCCCAACUUGCAUCAAUUAAGAGAAGAUAUAUUAAGCAUGUGAAGAAUGCAAAAAAAAUUAAUGAUAAAAUAAAUCACUUAGUAGAUAGUAUUUAAUGAUUUACAUUAUUAGAUUGUAGCAAUGAGUUAUAUUUUUAUUUUUGUGUAUAGGGGAUUUUAAAUUAUAAUAUAUAUUUUUUUAUUUUUGAGUUAGUUUUCUUUGUUGAUACAUAGUUUUUUUUUUGUCUUGGAUAUUGUGUUAUCAACAGUUUUAAAAGAAAUAAAAAUUAUUUAUCCCACAUCGAUUCAAAACUAAAAAUAUUAUAUAUAUUUAUUAAAACUUUGAUACUCUUAAAAAAUACAAGUACAACCAAUAAGCAAGCAUAGGGAUGGCAACGGGGUGGGUAUGGGACAUGCCACCCCUACCCCAUUUCCAUCCCGGUUAUAUAUUUUUUUGCCCAUCCUUGUCCCAAACUCGGGGCGGGGCGAGUUGGUGUCCCCCUUACCUAUUUACAAAAGAACUGAUAAUCUCAUCUCCGUCCCAAAUGUAUUUUCGGGAAUUAUGCUUUUACAAAACAUAGGUCUCUGAAAUUUCAAUAUAUGUUAUAUGGGUUAUCAUAAACACAUUUAAUCAAGCAUUUGUUGUGCAACAAAACUGCAAAUUACACAUAUGAGAACAAAAUGCACAGAUCUACAAAUAAACAACCCAAAAAAUCUCAAAUCCAUAAACCAAAACCAGAAAAUAUGAAAAACAAGACAUUCUAACAAAGCCUCAAAACAUAGUAUUUAAUGAUUUACAUUAUUAGAUUGUAGCAAUGAGUUAUAUUUUUAUUUUUGUGUAUAGGGGAUUUUAAAUUAUAAUAUAUAUUUUUUUAUUUUUGAGUUAGUUUUCUUUGUUGAUACAUAGUUUUUUUUUUGUCUUGGAUAUUGUGUUAUCAACAGUUUUAAAAGAAAUAAAAAUUAUUUAUCCCACAUCGAUUCAAAACUAAAAAUAUUAUAUAUAUUUAUUAAAACUUUGAUACCCUUAAAAAAUACAAGUACAACCAAUAAGCAAGCAUAGGGAUGGCAACGGGGUGGGUAUGGGACAUGCCACCCCUACCCCAUUUCCAUCUCGGUUAUAUAUUUUUUUGCCCAUCCUUGUCCCAAACUCGGGGCAGGGCGAGUUGGUGUCCCCUUUACAUGUUUACAAAAGAACUGAUAAUCUCAUCCCCGUCCCAAAUGUAUUUUCGGGAAUUAUGCUUUUACAGAACAUAGGUCUCUGAAAUUUCAAUAUACGUUAUAUGGGUUAUCAUAAACACAUUUAAUCAAGCAUUUGUUGUGCAACAAAACUGCAAAUUACACAUAUGAGAACAAAAUGCACAGAUCUACAAAUAAACAACCCAAAAAAUCUCAAAUCCAUAAACCAAAACCAGAAAAUAUGAAAAACAAGACAUUCUAACAAAGCCUCAAAACUUAGGGUUUUCUUACCUGGAAAUGAGGAAUCCAUAGAAACCCUAAUAAUUUGUUGUCUACGAAUUUGGUUUUUGGUUUUUAGAGCAAAAAUUGUGCUUUUAGGGUGAAAUGGGAAGAAGCAAUUUAGGAAUAAAUGAGAAAACGGGAAGAAAUGAGAAAAUGAAAGGCCUCUUACAAGCAAAAGAACCCUGAGCAAUUUAGGAAGAAAUGAGAAAACGGGAAGAAAUGAGAGCGAAAGCCCUCUAAUUCUCUCACGAGCGAAAUAACCCUAAAACUUGAGGAAGAAAUGAUUAUAUACGGAGAACUUUUUGGGUAUUUUGUAAUGAUAUAAGGGUAAAUUGGUAAUUCACAUACGGGACGGGGUAGAAACUGCAAAACCCAUCCCUGCCUUAAACCCGAUUCGGGUUUUUAUAUAUUCCCCAAACCCGUUUUAUACCCGAAUAGAAUAUUCUCAUACCCGUCCCAAUAGGGAUGGGGCGGGUGACCCGGAUUACCCAGAAAAUUGUAGUUCCUAAGCAAGCAUUGAGCUAAAUCCUAAUCUCACAUUCCUGCUCGAAACUUUACACUCACAUAAAAACAACUCACCACUUGACUCGAUGGACUAUUCCGUAACUUCUCACUACCAACAACCAGGCACUAUUCAACCUCUCGCUCACUUAUAAAUUCACUCCCUACCUGCAUAUUCAAAACAUAUCUUACUACUAUUCUACUCUACUAUUCUACUUUUCGUGGUUUCAUAUCUCACUAUUAUUCUACUUUUCGCGGUUUCAUAUCUCACUACUAUUCGCGUGUUCAAAGUGUGCAUAUUCAAAGUGUAUCCCUCCUUGAAUUAAUUGUGAAUUAAUUUAGGCUUCAAAGUGUGUUGCUCUACAACAUCCCUCCUAGUCAGGCCUCAAAGUAAGAACAACAACAUCUACAAUAUCUGCCAUGGCCACACAACCAAGGCAUGUGGUAUGCCUCAUUUUCUCAUGUCCUUUUCCCAUUUUGUUCCCUCUUUUCAUCUCCAUUUUGUUUUCAAUAUUCCCUUACCUUACUCAUAUUCUCUAAAAUUAGAUAAAAUUAUUAAUUUGAUCAUAUUUAUCUAACAUUUUUAAUUAGUACUACUAGUAUCUUAUUUUCAUAAAUCUAAUUGAAUUUCCUACUUAUUUAUUUAUUGUUUUCAUGACAAAAAUUCAUCAGCUUUCAUAUCUUUCCUUACAAUUCUGAGUUCAACUGUCCUUGCGAAAUACCAAUAUGAGAAUGUUUCCCCAUUUGCCCAACACAACAUAGGUAUGCAAAUCUCCUUAUUUGCAUCAUUUAUAUAUUUCAUGAUGGUUGUGGCUUAUGAAAUCCUUGAUUCUAAUGGAACUAUCAAAAUUGAAGAAGAUGGAAGAUAUCUCCUUAUUUUGGGUCAUGUUUAGUUCUUAAGUGGAACAGCAGCUGCAACUUUGUUGAUCCUGAUCUUGAUCCCAUAUUUUGGAUGGUUCUUUCUGAUCAUGUGGACCAUGUUCUUAGUGAAAAUAGCAUGCUAUUGGGAUAAAACAUUUUAUAACUUUGACAUGUUCAAGAAUAAAAAAAAAUGCCAAUGAUAAGGAAUGAGGACAAGAGGAGCAACGACCCCAAGUUUAGAGUAGGUUUGGUCUAUAAGAGGUUAUUAGCAAAAAACAUAUUUUCUUCUUGUACUUUUGAAAGUGUUAUAUAAGUGUCAUAUUUUGAGUAAUGAGAGUAUUUUUUUUUCCUUUUUUCUUUUUCUCUAAUACAUUAUUGUUGAUUAUUCUUCGCUGGAAUACCCACAAGGCUAUUAGAUGUUUCAUUGCAAAUAUGGUUUUAUAUGAUAGCAUUACGAUUGAACUUAUAAAACAUAUUUUCUACAUAUUGUUUAGCUGGGCCUCCCAACUACCUCUCGGUAAUAUCCUCUUAACAUAGGAAGUAUAAACUAAUAGCAAGUGCUAAUCUUUCCCAUUCUUACACAAGAAAGACCCAAGGAGAAGGUAUAUUUAGAAAUUGCAUAUCUAUGUUCCCAAACAAUAGAAAAUUCAAUAUAUGGCACUUCACUCUCUACUUUUCUUUCCCACAUUUUCUCAUAACCCAAAUAUGCUCACCUCUCAUUCUAAGAUCCAACCAUUGAAAAACAAUUACAAAAAUCCUAAUAAAAGAGAUAGAUCAUACUACAAUUACACUUUCUUACAAGAAAUUGAAGUGUAGAAGGUAUAACAAUUGAGUGAAACAAAUAAAAACCAACCUCCUUUAACACACCUGCUAAUGAAAUACUUGUAGAGACACUAUAAAUCCCUCCAGACUCCAAAAGAUACUGAUCAACAGCCUCGGCACUUGCAGCGACGAGACCAAUCCUUGGUACGAUAUAAUGCACGAACUCGACACGGAAUCGGUAAGACUCAGUUAGAUUACAGAAAAAUUUUCAAACAUUCUUUUUUUCUUUCCAAUCAUAAUAAAACAUUAGAAUAUUUUCCAAAAGCAAACACCCAUGAUUUUGAAAUUGGAGCUUUUAAACCAGAAGAUCAAAGAAGACGAAGAAGAAAAAACCCAACCCCUGACCCGUUCAGAAAUAAGAGGAGAAACCACCGAAUGAUGAAGGCAUGAUUUAGGAUUUACUUACUUGAUUUUCCUAAAAAUCGAGAAUCACCAGAGGGUGGAGGUUUGGUGUCGGCGGUGGUAACUUGUCAAGUGGACUAAAUCUUGCAACGAGGACGUCAGCCAGGCAACCCUCACAGUCAGAUUGCUCCCCCUCCGGGGUCUUUCAUAGUUGUAAAUUUGCAAUUGCAAGUGGUGUCAUUUGUCGGCGGUCUUGACAGCAAAGGUGGUAUGCAAGGUGUGGGAGAUUGGGAGCCCUAAUUGGUAAAGUAAAAAAUGCAUUUUAUAUGGAUUUACAUUGAUGAUAUGAGAUAGGAUUUGAUGGUAACUUAUUAAAUUAAAUUAAAUGAUUGAGUCUAAAAUGAUAUGGAUGGUAUGAGAUAGGAUUUAAUGAAAAAUUAAAUGUAUUUAUAUGGCAGAUUGAGAAUUAAAUCUCCAAUUCUUAGUAUUAUUAUAAAUAGCUUUGAGUUAAAUGUGAAAUUUUUUUGUUUUAUUAAUUUUUUAAGCUUAUUUAAUUUCUAUCUAUUUUUUUUAUAUAAUUUACAUAACAUUUUUAUAAUUUUAUGAAAUUUCUAAUUAUCUUAUUUUGCGUAAUGCUUGAUACUGAAUCGAGAUGUCAAGACCAACAUGUCUCGGGAUCAUCUGAGUCAAUGAUCGAUAUCGCGACUUUGAACCAUACUCGUCUCCAAUCCCUCAACAAUGAUGAAAAAUGAGGCCAACGUAGUUGCCUUUUUUAUUAUUAUCAGUUAAAAAUAAUGAAUCUAAAUUCAUGUAUUAUCAAGAAUAAAUAAGUUUAUAUUUAUAAAUUUUUAUUAUAAAUUUAUAUUUACACAUAUCCUUGAUUUUCCUCAAGGUUUUAUUUUUAAUUGAUUACAAAGCAUUAGUACUUAUUUAAUUUAAAAUGUAUUAAAUAAAUAUUAAUAUUAUAUAAAUAAAUAAAAGUUGAAUUUGAAUAAAAAAUUUAUAUAUAUAUAUCAUAUUCUUCAUGAAUAUGAAUCUAUUAUUAAAGAUACAUGGUAAUAAGUGUUAAUAUUAUAUAAUCAAAUGAGAGAGUACAAAAAUGUUCUAUUAUUAGCAAUACAUUAUUAUAAUAAUAAGAUACUUAAUAUAAUGUAAAUAAAUAAAAGUCGUCAUAAAUUUAAAUUUGAAUUUAUAUUUUAAAACCCAUCACAUUUAUUUUUAUUUUUUUAAAAUUUUAAGAAUUUUUUCUCCACUUCAAAUAGCAAUAAUAGUGUUUAUUCAUACUAAUUAUACUUAAAAUUGAUGAAAAUUAUGAAAAAAAAAACCCAUACCCUUCAAAUUUAUAUUUGUUUUAAUUUUAAAUUUUUUUUCUCUACUUCAAGUAAUAAUAAUAAUAAUGUUUAUUCAUACUAAUAACAAUAAAAUUAAUGAAAAUGAUGAAAAAUAAAAAAUUGUUUGGUUUCAACAUUGUUUAUUCAAAAUAAUUUUUUUUAUUUGCACUUUCCUACUAGGCCAAACUAAGAAUGACUCAGACCAGUAUGGUCCGUUUAAAUGCCUAUCUUUUUAUUAUAAGCUCACUAAGCUGCAUCUCUCAAGACUCUAGUGAAACACAAUCUGGCCCAAAUAAAUUUUCCGAUUCAAUCCACUUCCUACAAUUCCGCCAAAAAGACCUAAUUUCUCAUUGAAAAAAUGGUUAAAAAUAAGAAUAGCAAGAGAAUCAAGUUAUGGCUCAAAAAAGGUUUUUUUUUUUUCUUAAAAAAAAAAAAAAAAACUAUCUAAACCUUAAAAAAAUUGAAAAUAAGUAAAACAUAAGAUAAGUUACAAACUAAAUGCACCAAAAGUAAAUUCAAAAAUGGAAUAGCUGGUUAGGGACAAUACUAUAAACAAGUAGGCUUAUCAAUUGUUGAAUCCAUAGAAUCUGUGGUCUCCCUAUGCAUUAUGAAUUUUUUCUUUGCUUCAAAUAAUAAUAAUAAUAAUAAUAAUAAUGUUUAUUCAUACUAAUAAACAAUUCUUCAUAAUCAUAACCUCCUAAUUUCCAAUAAUUAUAAUUGAAAUUAUUUUAAAUAAACAAUGUUGAAACCAAACAAUGUUUCAACAUAAUAGGAAAGUGCAAAUAAAAAUACCCCAUUACAAAUACCUUCCAAAAUUUAUUUAAAAUUCAUAGAUUUUUUUUUUUACUUUAAAUAUCAAAAAAAUUAUUGAUUCAUAAUAAUUUCACUUAGAAUUCAUAAAAAAAUAUGAGGAAAAAAAAUUAAAAUAAAAAAUUUUAAGAUCCCUACCCUUCCCAUUUAAUUUUAACAAUUUUUUUCUGAGCAUUGAUUUGUUGAUCGGUUAUCAAGGGCCACUCAUUUGCUUUGUUGGAUCUAACUCUCUAUAAGCAUGCUUUGUUUUGGCUUCGUUUUUUUUAUCUUUGCUUUCUCUUGUAAAUAUCUGAUGCAUUGUUCCCUCUUUGAACUUGAGAUAUAAAAACCAUGCUCUUGUUCCUUGUGGAUUCCACCUGCUCCUAGCUCUUUGAUAAUCCAUGAAAUAGAGCUAAGUUCAUACUCUAUUUUUAUGUUUUUAUUAUUCUUUGUUUGUUGUUGAUGGUGGGAUGAUAUUAUCAAUGGCCAAGUUGCUGGGAUUGGAGGAGUGAGGUUAUGGGGAAGUGAACUUAAUGGAGGAUUUCUGUGAUCAUAUCUAUGCUCCAAUCUAUUGGUUCCAAAUGUUGGUCACGAGACUGCAUUGAAGUUUUGGUAUUUGGGAUCACUUUGCCAUCUGGGUUUAGUAAGCAACACAGUGGCAAUAAAGAUGCAUUGGUGUUAUUAAUUUGGGUGAAUAAGUUGGUUGUAUGAAUUGUGAAAGUUCAGGUUGUGCUUUGAGGAGAGUAUAUCUUGCAUCCUACUAUUUUAAUUAUUAAUUUUGGAUGUUGAAAUAUGAUGUGAUUGCACUUCAUAUGCAUCAUGGUUGUGUGAGGAAAAAGAAAUAUUAAAGAAAUGGUUGUGUGAAAUGGAAAUAAGAAUGAAAAGACCCUGGAUAGGGCAAAAAUGAAAAGAAAAGAAAAAAAAAAUGAAAUGAUCCUAGAGAGGGCGAAUUAAGAAGGAAGUGAGAUCUCUAAGCUGAAAGACCCAAAAGUUUACUUCGAGAAGACUCCGAAUGGGGAGUAUAUUUAGGUAUAGACGUGUAUCCUUUGGUGAAAGCUUGAGAACCACAGUGCAUUGUGUGAUUGCGUGUAACCAUUUGCAUCAUAAUUGUAUUUGGAAGAAGGAUUUGUAUUAUUUAUCAAGUGUAUGUUUGAAUAUAUUAUUCAAAACUAAAAUGACUUGUUUAUUUUGUAAAUUUAGAAUUGUUGAUAUACUAAACAUAUGAUUGAAUAAGGAAAAUGAUAAUUUUGAUUGUUUUAAAUUUGUAUGGUUGGGGUUUCUUUUAGUGUAUAUAUUGUAAAUGUAAUAUUAUAUCUUGACAUAUGGUUGUGUUAUUGACUUAGAAUUUCUAACCUAUUUGGGUGUAAAACACCCUACUAAGCAACGUGAAAAUGCUCACCCCUUUAUUUUCUAAAAUUUUUAGAUGCAGAUAUAGUUUCAGAGGGGCCGCAAGAAGUUCAAGAAGCGUUCUAGAAAGCAAAAGAACUAUAAUAAUAGUUGUUUUUAAAUUUAUAUUUAUCCUUUUACAUGUACCAAUUUGAAUUAUAUGGGCUUUUGUAUGUUAAAUUAUAUUUUGUUAGAUUGUAAAACAUUUUUGGAAAUAUUUUUUUUGACUUAGAGAUUAUUAUAAAUAUUUGAGCUUUUGGACAGAAAGAUGACUGGUGGAUUUAUUAUACUUGUGAAUAAGAGAUAGUGUGAUGGUUGGUUUUAGAAAAAUAAAAUAUUAUAAUAAAUCUUAACUUAAUAAAUUUAUUUAAGAUUAGACGUUUUAUUAUUUAAAAAAAAAAAGUUUCAGAGUUUUUUGAUUGAUUGUCAGUGUGGAUAGGAGUAAUCCUUAGGGUCAAACCCUUGGCCGACUAUGUAGGUGAAUACCCAAUUAUACCCACAUGAAUCAGCCGUCAAUCUUACAAAUCCAAGGGCAAAGUAGUCAUUCCAAUUCAAACAAAACCAAGCCAUGAUUCAUGAAAACUGCUGGCCACAGCUCCUGGUUUUUCCCAAACUUUGGGCACCAAAUCCAAACCCAUCUCUUGCUAUAUAACCAACCCACCUUCACCUCAUCUUCUUCAUCACAACACAACUACCCUGAUUUACAGAGAGAUUUUCUAUAUCCAUUCACUACUCAGAAUCACCUCUUUCUAUUGUUGAUUGUUGUUUGGGUUUCGGAGAAAGAAAAUUAAGAAGAUGAGUCAUGUGGGGAAAGCUUGGUUAGUGGCAGCAAGUGUGGGAGCAGUGGAGGCACUCAAGGAUCAGGGCUUCUGCAGAUGGAACUACACUCUGAGGUCUAUUCACCAGCAUGCCAAGACCAACCUCAGGUCCUUUGCUCAGGCCAAGAAGCUCUCUUCUUCCUCUUCCGCCAUGGUUUCCAGCAGAGUGAGAGAGGAGAAGGCCAAGCAGUCAGAGGAGUCUCUGAGGACUGUCAUGUACUUGAGCUGCUGGGGACCCAACUGAAGAAGAAGAUAUGAAGAUGGAUGAUCAUCAGCCUGCUCUUGAAGCAUCCAGGGAGGGCAUAUUCCAAGAAAGUAACGGAAAAUUGAGAUGAAGAAACUGCAGUGAAGCAAUUUCAUGGAAUUUUUGCUUGGAGACUCACGAAUUACAACCAAUUGCUCAGGGUUGGGAAAAUUGGAAUUGGCGUAAAUUGUGACUGGGUCUUUGUAAAACCCACAUCAUUUAGCUAGAAAAGCUUUGAAAAUACAUUUUAAUUUAAUUUAUAAUUUCUAUGUUAGAAUAUUAGACCCAAUUCCUAAAAAGCUUGUCAGCCUUGUAUAUAUGGCUAAGCAGGUCAACUUCCCAAGCUCAAGCGCAUUAAGAAAUUCUCAAACCUACCUUUUUUUUAUAGGAUUUUUGGGAAGUUUUACAGCAAUUGAAAACAAAUCUUAAAAGGGUCGGGAAAUUAUUUGAAAAAAUAUGGCAGAUUUGGUCACAUAGGGGAUAAAGAGGUGAUAAAGUUGGUACAACGCCCAAAAUUAAACUCUCAAUUAAUUUAAUUGAACAAAUAAUCAUAAAAGAGAUUUUUUUAAUUUAUGAUUUUUAUUUUUUUAUUUAUACUUUUUGAAAAAGAAAAUUCCAGUGAAAUAUGUUCGUGUAGACUGUGUGGCAGGAUGCAGACUAAACAAAGAAAUUGACACGUGCUUGAAGUCCGGCCCUACACAUAGCCCCAUUGGAAAACAGCGGUUUCAUCCUCCGUACUCUUUGGGCGUUAAGUGGGUUCACAAACCAAACAAUGGGCUGCCCCAACACAGCAACACUUAGACUGAGGACAAACUAUGUAGGUGAAUACCCAAUUAUACCCACAUGAAUCAGUGGUCAAUCUUUCAAAUAUAAGGACAGAGUAGUCAUUCCAAUUCAAAUCAAACAAAGUUAUGAGAACUGCUGGCCACAGCCUCUGGUUUCCCCAAAACUUUGGGCACUAUUCCUCAAAGAAUCAAGUGGGCUAGAGUUAAUAACUUCGUCCACCAUGGUUAGAUUACUGGGGGCUAGAGUUAAUAACUUCAUCCACCAUGGUUAGAUUAUUGGUAUCUCGAUGGGAGAAGUUGUUUUGACGGUAAAACAUUGUAUUUUAUUAUUUUGUAAAUUUUAUCAUCACUCAUAUAUAUUAUUUUUUAUUUAAAAUUAAAUAAAAAAUUAAAAUUCUUAGAAAAUGCGAAACAAAAGUAUAUCACAACUUAUAUUAAUUAAACGUCUUUAUUUUCUAUUCUAAAAUUAAAAAACAAAAUUAAAAUUAUCAAGAAAAAAGUACAUUCCAACUUACAUUAAUCAAGGGAUGAUAUACUGUACAAAUAAAAAAUAAUAAAAAUAAUUAAAGGUUAAAUAAAUCGCUUAAUAAAUUGAUAGUAUGGGUUGAUGGUUUCAUUAUAAGACCAUAACAAGGAUUUUCUUUUUCUUUUUCUUUUUAAAUGCAUUUCACGGUGGUGUAGAAUUUUUUUGUAUAAGGGUUUUUAAAUUAUAAUAUUGAUUAUAUAUAUAGGUGUGUUUUGUCCUAAAUUCCGAUUUCCAAGUUUCCAACAUUAUAUAAAAAUCCCUAAAAUCAUCUACUUCGUAAGUUUUCUAACAUUAUAUAAAAAGCCCUGAAUUCACUUAUUAGGAAAAUGCUAUUUGGUGCACUACCAUCACCAUGACCUCAACCUCGUGUAAAGAUAUCAAGUGGUUACUAAUAAUAAAAAAUAAAUAAUAAAAACAAAAUGUAUUCAUUAUUAUUAUUAUUAUUAUUUUGUACUUUUACCAUCCAUUGUUCACAUCUUAGCAUAUGGUAGAAAAGAUGAUAAAUGAUUAUUUAUGUCAUAAUUUUUAAGUGAAGUGAUCAAAAUAUUUAAAGAAAAAAUUAAUAAUUGAUGAAUAAUUUUUGGUAAAUUUAUAAAUUUGUAAUAAAUAUUAAUAAAUGAUAAACAAAGUAGUUUUUAAAGCGGUUGUAGUAGUUAAACAUUAUAUCUCAUUAUGAUUUUCCACCUUCAAAACUUAAUAAUAAAAUUUCAUAACAAAUUUUUAUCUAUUUAAAACUUUUGAAAUGUGAAAUCUUUUCUUGGACAUCUUUAUAUAUACAUUUGUGAAUUUUCUCUUUAUUUGCUAUUUAUAAAAUUAAAGGAUAAAGUUAAAAUGUUAAAAAUAAAAGAGAAGUAUAUCCCAACUUACAUCAAUUAAGAGAAGAUAUAUUAAGCACAUGAAGAAUGCAAAAAAAAAUUAAUGAUAAAAUAAAUCACUUAUUAGUUAGUAUUUAAUGAUUUACAUUAUUAGAUUGUAGCGAUGAGUUAUAUUUUUAUUUUUGUGUAUAGGUGAUUUUAAAUUAUAAUAUUUUUUAUUUUAUUUUUGAGUUAGUUUUCUUUGUUGAUACAUAGGUUUUUUUUUUUUUUUUUGUCUUGGAUAUUGUGUUAUCUACAGUUUUAAAAGAAAUAAAAAUUAUUUAUCCCACAUUGAUUCAAAACUAAAAAUAUUAUAUAUAUAUUUGUUAAAACUUUGAUACCCUUAAAAAAUACAAGUACAACCAAUAAGCAGGCAUAGGGAUGGCAACGGGGUAGGUAUGGGACGGGCCACCCCUACCCCAUUUCCAUCCCGGUUAUAUAUUUUUUUUUCCAUCCCCGUCCCAAACCCAGGGCGGGGCGAGUUGGUGUCUCCUAUGCCCAUUUACAAAAGAGCUGAUAAUCUCAUCCCCAUCCCAAAUGUAUUUUCGGGAAUUAUGCUUUUACAGAACAUGGGUCUCUGAAAUUUCAAUAAACGUUAUAUGGGUUAUCAUAAACACAUUUAAUCAAGCAUUUGUUGUGCAACAAAACUGCAAACUGCACACAUGAGAACAAAAUGCACAGAUCUACAAAUAAACAACCCAAAAAAUCUCAAAUCCAUCAACCAAACCAGAAAAUAUGAAAAACAAGACAUUUCUAACAAAGCCUCAAAACUUAGGGUUUUCUUACCUGGAAAUGAGGAAUCCAUAGAAACCCUAAUAAUUUGUUGUCUACGAAUUUGGUAUUUUGGUUUUCAAAGCAAAAAAUGUGCUUUUAGGGUGAAACGGGAAGAAACAAUUUAGGAAUAAAUGAGAAAACGAGAAGAAAUGAGAAAACAAAAGCCCUAUUACGAGCAAAAGAACCCUGAGCAAUUUAGGAAGAAAUGAGAAAACGGGAAGAAAUGAGAAAACAAAAAGCCUCUUACGAGCAAAAGAAUCCUAAGCAAUUUAGGAAGAAAUGAGAAAACUAGAAGAAAUGAGAAUGAAAGCCCUCUGAGAGCGAAAACCCUCUAAGAGUGAAAGCCCUCUGACUCUCUCACGAGUGAAAUAACCCUAAAAUUUGAGGAAGAAAUGAUUAUAUAUGGAGGACUUUUUGGGUAUUUUGUAAUGACAUAAGGGUAAAUCGGUAAUUCACAUACGGGAUGGGGCGGAAACUGCAAAACCCAUCCCUGCCCUGAACCCGAUUUGGGUUUUUAUAUAUUCCCCAAACCCGUUCUAUACCCGAAUAAAAUAUUCCCAUACCCGUCCCAAUAGGGGCGGGUGACCCGAAUUACUCGGAAAAUUACCAUUCCUAAGCAAGCAUUGAGCUAAAUCCUAAUCUCACAUUCUUGCUCGAAACUUUACACUCAAAUAAAAACAAUUCACCACUUGACUCGAGGGACUAUUCCGUAACUUCUCACUACCAACAACCAGGCACUAUUCGACCUCUCGCUCGCUUAUAAAUUCACUCCCUACUUGCAUAUUCAAAGCGUAUCUCACUACCAUUCUACUCUACUAUUCUACUUUUCGCGGUUUCAUAUCUCACUACUAUUCGCGUGUUCAAAGUGUGCAUAUUCAAAGUGUAUCCCUCCUUGAAUUAAUUGUGAAUUAAUUUAGGCUUCAAAGUGUGUUGCUCUACAAUAUCCUUCCUAGUCAGGCUUCAAAGUAAGAGCAACAACAUCUACAAUAUCUACCAUGGCCACACAACCAAGGUAUGCGGUAUGCCGCCUUUUCUCAUGUCCUUUUCCCAUUUUGUUCCCUCUUUUCAUCUCCAUUUUGUUUUCAAUAUUCUCUUACCUUACUCAUAUUCUCUAAAAUUAGAUAAAAUUAUUAAUUUGAUCAUAUUUAUCUAACAUUUUUAAUUAGUACUACUAGUAUCUUAUUUUCAUAAAUCUAAUUGAAUUUUCUACUUAUUUAUUUAUUGUUUUCAUGACAGAACUUCACCAGCUUUCAUAUCUUUCCUUACAAUUUUGAGUUCAGUUGUCCUUGCGAAGUACCAAUAUGAGAAUGUUUCCCCAUUUUCCCAACACAACAUAGGUAUGCAAAUCUCCUUAUUUGCAUCAUUUAUAUAUUUCAUGAUGGUUGUGGUUUAUGAAAUCCUUGAUUCUGAUGGAACUGUCAAAGUUGAAGAAGAUGGAAGAUAUCUCCUUAUUUUGGGCCUGUUCGGUUCUUAAGUGGAACAGCAGCUGCAACUUUGUUGAUCCUGAUCUUGAUCCCAUAUCUUGGAUGGUUCCUUUUGGUCAUGUAGACCAUGUUCUUAGUGAAAAUAGCAUGCUAUUGGGAUAAAACAUUUUAUAACUUUGACAUGUUCAAGAAUAAAAAAAAAUGCCAAUGAUAGGGAAGGAAGACAAGAGGAGCAGCGACGCCAAGUUUAGAGUAGGUUUGGUCCAACAGAGGUUAUUAGCAAAAAACAUAUUUUCUUCUUGUACUUUCGAAAGUGUUAUAUAAGUGUUAUAUUUUGAGUAAUGAGAGUAUUUUUUUCCUUUUUUCUUUUUCUCUAAUACAUUAUUGGUGAUUAUUCUUCAUCGGAAUACCCACAAGGUUAUUAGAUGUUUAAUUGCAAAUAUGGUUUUAUAUGAUAGCAUUAUGAUUGAACUAAUAAAACAUAUUUUUUUGCAUAUUGUUUAGCUGGACUUCCCAACUACCUCUGGGUAAUAUCCUUUUAACAUAGGAAGUAUAAACUAAUAGCAAGUGCUAAUCUUUCCCAUUCUUACACAAGAAAGAACUAAGGAAAAAGGUAUACUUAGAAGUUGCAUUUCUAUGUUCCCAAACAAUAGAAAAUUCAAUAUAUGGCACUUCACUCUCUACUUUUCUUUCCCACCUUUUCUCAUAACCCAAAUAUGCUCACCUCUCAUUCCAAGAUCCAACCAAAAUUGAAAAACAAUUACAAAAAUCCUAGUAGAAGAGACAGAUCAUACUACAAUUACACUUUCUUACAAGAAAUUGAAGUGCAAAAGGAAUAACAAUUGAGUGAAACAAAUAAAACCAACCCCCUUUACCACACCUACUAAUGAAAUACUUGCAGAGACACUUUAAAUUUCUCCAGACUCCAAGAGAUACUGAUCAACAGCCUCGACACCUGCAGUGAUGAGACCAACACUUGAUACGAUAUAAUGCACAAACUCGACACGGAAUUGGUAAGACUUGGUUAGAUUACAGAAAAAUUUUCAAACAUUAUAUUUUUCUUUCCAAUCACAACAAAACAUCAAAAUAUUUUCAAAAAUAAAAAUUAGAGAUUCCCUCUUCAAAAGAAGACACCCAUGAUUCUGAAAUUGGAGCUUUUAACCCAGAAGAUCAAAGAAGACAAAGAAGAAAAAACCCAACCCCUAACCCAUUCGGAAAUAAGAGGAGAAACCAUCAAAGAAUGAGGGCAUGAGUUAGGAUUUACUUACCUGAUUUUCCUAAAAAUCGAGAAUCACCAAAGGUGGAGGUUUGGUGUCGGCGGUGGUAACUCGUCAAGUGGACUGAAUCUUACAAUGACGACGUCGGCUAGGCAACCCCCUCACAGUCAGAUUGCUCUCCCUCCGGGGUCUUGCAUAGUUGCAAAUUUGCAAUUGCAGGUGGUGUCAUCUAUCGGCGGUCUUGACAGCAACGGUGGUGUGCGAGGUGUGGGAGAUUGGGAGUCCAAAUUGGUAAAGUAACAAAUGCAUUUUAUAUGGAUUUACGUUGAUGAUAUGAGAUAGGAUUUGAUGGUAACAUAUUAAAUUAAAUUAAACGAUUGAGUCCAAAAUGAUACGGAUGGUAUGAGAUGGGAUUUAAUGAAAAAUUAAAUGUAUUUAUAUGGAAAAUUGAGAAUUAAAUCCCCAAUUCUUAGUAUUAUUAUAAAUAGGUGAAAAAAUUUUGUUUUAUUAAAUUUUUAAGCUUAUUUAAUUUCUAUAUAUUUUUUUAUAUAUAAUUUACAUAACAUUUUUAUAAUUUUUUGAAAAUUUUAAUUAUCUUAUUUUGCGUAUUGCUUGAUAUUGAAUCAAAAUGUCGAGACCAACAUAUCUCGGGAUCAUUUGAGUCAAUGAUCGAUAUCACAACUUUGAACCAUGCUCGUCUCCAAUCCCUCAACAAUGAUGAAAAAUGAGGGCAACACAAUUACCUUUUUUAUUAUUAUCAGUUCAAAAUAAUACGUGUAUUAUAAUAUAAUUUUUAAAAAAUAUUUUACAAAAAAAUAUAUGUGGACCCCGCAUUUAGGCUCAUGCACUUCCACUCGAUGGCGAGCUCGAUUUUAUUUUGAAAAUGAUUUUAUUUAUUAGAAAAUGACUUGGAGUCGCUACUUAUUUUUGUUUUAUUUUUAAAGGGUAAACAAAAUAAGAAAGAAAACCCUAAGUGUGACUCCUUAUUUUGGAAAAGGUGGUCUGUGAAAAAUGGGAUCGAGUUCGGGGGCUAGGUUACUUAUCGGGAAGGUACGGUAAAGACCGUAGCACCCCUUUAACUCCCCAAAGUCGGGUCUUUACUAAUAAAAUGAAGUUGACGCGACAAUCAAUAAUAAAAACAAUGAAUAUCGACAUGAUCACAUAUUGAAAACCAAAACAUAUAAGGAUGAUGGUUAGAGUGAGAAAAAAUGCGUACCUAAUCAGCAAGCGGCAACGCGCUAUCAUAAAAUGAGGUUAGUGCACAAAUAAUGGACAUAAAACAUAGCUCACAUGCCACUGAAUCGAGUACAAAAUCAUCAGAUAUCACAAUUAAGUCAAAUUUAUUUUUCGAGGAAACAAUCAUUGAUGUUGGGCCUCCACCAAAACCCAAUUUAUUCCUGCAUGAAUUAAUUCCGUAAAUUCCAUCACUUGGAAUUAUAGAAUUUAAUUCACACUUAUUUUUAAAACGUUUUAGAAUUCAUGGAAGUUAUGGAAAUCCAUGCCGAAGAAAAUGACAACAAAAUUUUAUUAAAAAUGUGAUUUUUGGGACUUGAAAGCUCUAAGAAUGAAGAAUCUGGAAAAUAAUGCGAAAAAAAUGAGAUUUGGAAAAAAAUAUUUUUUUAAACCAAGAAUGGUGAAAAUGAGAAGAGAAAAAAAAAGUGACACGUGGCAUAAGGGUGGCCAUGCACCAUUUCAAACAAAUCUAACCCCACUUGCUUUUAUUUGAUCCUGAUCUUGAUCCCAUAUUUUGGAUGGUUCCUUCUGGUCAUGUGGACUUCUUAGUGAAAAUAGCAUGCUAUUGGGAUAAAACAUUUUAUAACUUUGACAUGUUUAAGAAUAAAAAAAAUGUCAAUGAUAGGGAAGGAGGACAAGAGGUGUAGCGACGCCAAGUUUAGAGUAGGUUUAGUCCAAUAGAGGUUAUUAGCAAAAAAACAUAUUUUCUUCUUGUACUUUUGAAAGUGUUCUAUUUUGAAUAAUGAGAGUAUUUUUUUUCCUUUUUUUUUUCUCUAAUACAUUAUUGGUGAAUAAGUGUUCUAUUUUGAAUAAUGAGAGUAUUUUUUUUCCUUUUUUUUUUUUCUCUAAUACAUUAUUGGUGAAUAAGUGUUCUAUUUUGAAUAAUGAGAGUAUUUUUUUUUCUUUUUUUUUUCUCUAAUACAUUAUUGGUGAUUAUUCUUCGCGGAAAUACCCACAAGGCUAUUAGAUGUUUCAUUGCAAAUAUGGUUUUACAUGAUAGCAUUACGAUUGAACUAAUAAAACAUAUUUUCUACAUAUUGUUUAGCUGGACCUCCCAACUACCUCUGGAUAAUAUCCUCUUAACAUAGGAAGUAUAAACUAAUAGCAAGUGCUAAUCUUUCCCAUUCUUACACAAGAAAGAACCAAGGAAAAGGUAUACUUAGAAGUUGCAUUUUUAUGUUCCUAAACAAUAGAAAAUUCAAUAUAUGGCACUUCACUCUCUACUUUUCUUUCCCACCUUUUCUCAUAACCCAAAUAUGCUCACCUCUCAUUCCAAGAUCCAACCAAAAUUGAAAAACAAUUACUAUUACAAUUACACUUUCUUUCAAGAAAUUGAAGUGUAGAAGGUAUAAUAAUUGAGUGAAACAAAUAAAAACCAACCUCCUUUAACACACCUGCUAAUGAAAUACUUGUAGAAACACUUUAAAUUUCUCCAGACUCCAAGAGAUACUGAUCAACAGCCUCGGCACCUACAGCAAUGAGACCAACACCUGAUACGAUAUAAUGCACAAACUUGGCAUGGAAUCGGUAAGACUCGGUUAGAUUAUAGAAAAAUUUUCAAACAUUCUCUUUUUCUUUCCAAUCAUAAUAAAACAUCAUAAUAUUUUCAAAAAUAAAAAUCAGAGAUUCCUCUUUCAAAAGCAAACACCCAUGAUUCUGAAAUUGGAGCUUUCAACCCAGAAGAUCAAAGAAGACGAAGAAGAAAAAACCCAACCCUUAACUCGUUCGGAAAUCAGAGGAGAAACCACCGAAGGAUGAGGGCAAGAUUUAGGAUUUACUUACCGAUUUUCCUAAAAAUCAAGAAUCAUCAGAGGGUGGAGGUUUGGUGUCGGCGGUGGUAACUCGUCAAGUGGACUGAAUCUUACAACGGCGAGGUCGGCUAGGCAACCCCCUCACAGUCAGAUUGCUCCCCCUCUAGGGUCUUGCAUAGUUGCAAAUUUGCAAUUGCAGGUGGUGUCAUCUAUCGGCGGUCUUGACAACAACGGUGGUGUGCGAGGUGUGGGAGAUUGGGAGCCCAAAUUGGUAAAGUAAAAAAUGCAUUUUAUAUGGAUUUACAUUGAUGAUAUGAGAUAGGAUUUGAUGGUAACAUAUUAAAUUAAAUUAAAUGAUUGAGUCCAAAAUGAUAUGGAUGGUAUGAGAUGGGAUUUAAUGAAAAAUUAAAUGUAUUUAUAUGACAGAUUAAGAAUUAAAUCCCCAAUUCUUAGUAUUAUUAUAAAUAGGUGAAAUUUUUUUGUUUUAUUAAAAUUUUAAGCUUAUUUAAUUUCUAUAUAUAAUUUACGUAAUAUUUUUAUAAUUUUUUGAAAUUUCUAAUUAUCUUAUUUUGCGUAUUACUUGAUACCGAAUCAAGAUGUCAAGACCAGCAUAUCUCGGGAUCAUCUGAAUCAAUGAUCGAUAUCGCGACAUUGAACCAUACUCAUCUCCAAUCCCUCAAUAGUGAUGAAAAAUGAGGCCAACGCAGUUGCCUUUUUUAUUAUUAUAAGUUAAAAAUAGUCAUGUAUUAUAAUAUAAUUUUAAAAAAAUAUUUUUACAAAAAAAAUACAAUAAAGAAAAUUUUAAAUAAAAGAGUUUACAAUAACUUUCUAUAUUAAUAAAUUAAUAAUGAAUCUAUAUCCAUGUAUUAUCGAGAAUAAAUAAGUUUAUAUUUAUAUAUUUUUAUUAUAAAUUUAUAUUGACACAUAUCCUUGAUUUCCCUCAAGGUUUUAUUUUUAAUUGAUUACAAAGCAUUAGUACUUGUUUAAUAAAAAAUGUAUUAAAUAAAUAUUAAUAUUAUAUAAAUAAAUAAAAGUUGAAUUUGAAUAAAACUUAUAUAUAUAUAUCAUAUUCAACAUGAAUAUGAAUCUAUUAUUAAAGAUACAUGGUAAUAAGUGUUAAUAUUAUAUAAUCAAAUGAGAGAGUACAAAAAUGUUCUAUUAUUAUAAUAAUAAGAUAUUUAAUAUCAUGCAAAUAAAUAAAAGUCACCAUAAAUUUAAAUUUGAAUUUAUAUUUUUAAACCCUUCAAAUUUUUAUUUUUAUUUUUAAAUUUUAAGAAUUUUUUCUCCACUUCAAAUAGCAAUAAUAGUGUUUAUUCAUACUAGUUAUACUUAAAAUUGAUGAAAAUUAUGAAAAAAAAAAAAGAAAUAAAAACCCAUACCCUUCAAAUUUGCAUUUGUUUUAAUUUUAAGAUUUUUUUUCUCUACUUCAAGUAAUAAUAAUAAUAAUGUUUAUUCAUACUAAUAACAAUAAAAUUAAUGAAAAUGAUGAAAAAUAAAAAAUAAAUAGUAAAAACUUCAAAUUUGUAAUAAUAAUAAUGUUUAUUCAUACUAAUAAACAAUUCUUCAUAAUCAUAACCUACUAAUUUCCAACAAUUAUAAUUGAAAUUAUUUUGAAUAAACAAUGUAAUUUGUAUUUGAAGUUGAAAAAAAUUGUGAAAAUUAAAUGGGAAGGGUAGGGUUUUAAUUUUAUUUUAUUUUUUUUACUUUUUACCUCAUAAAUUUUUUAUUUUUUUAUUUUUAUUUAUUUAUGAAUUCUAAGUGAAAUUAUUAUGAAUCAACAAUUUUAUUGAUAUUUAAAGUUAAAAAAAAUCUAUGAAUUUUAAAUAAAUUUUGGAAGGUAUUUGUAAUGGGGUAUUUUUAUUUGCACUUUCCUAUUAUGUUGAAACAUUGUUUGGUUUCAAAAUUGUUUAUUCAAAAUAAUUUCAAUUAUUAUUAUUGGAAAUUAGGAGGUUAUGAUUAUGAAGAAUUGUUUAUUAGUAUGAAUAAACAUUAUUAUUAUUAUUAUUAUUAUUAUUAUUAUUAUUUGAAGUAGAGAAAAAAUUCAUAAUGCAUAGGGAGAUCACAGAUUCUAUGGAUUCAACAAUUGAUAAGCCUACUUGUUUAUAUUAUUGUCCUUAACCAGCUAUCCCAUUUUUUAAUUUACUUUUGGUGCAUUUAGUUUGUAACUUAUCUUAUGUUUUACUUAUUUUCAAUUUUUUAAGGUUUAGAUAGUUUUUUUUUUCUAAAAAAAAAAAAAAACCUCUUUUGAGCCAUAACUUGAUUCUCUUGCUAUUCUUAUUUUUAACCAUUUUUUCAAUGAGAAAUUAGGUCUUUUGGCGGAAUUGUGGGAAGUGGAUUGAAUCGGGAAAUUUAUUUGGUCCAGAUUGUGUUUCACUAGAGUCCUAAGAGAUGCAGCUAAGUGAGCUUAUAAUAAAAAGGUAGGCAUGUAAACGAACCAUGCUAGUCCGGGCCAUUCUUAGCUUGGCCUAGUGGGCCUUCAAAAUUGCUCCAACAUGAAUUUCAACGUGAACUUCAGUUUUUAAAAUUAAUAAUUAUACAUUUGUUUUAACUAUUUAUAACAAAUAUUAUCUUUGAAAAGUAAAUUUCAAUUAAUUUUUAUAUUUAAAUAAAAAUUAUUAUUAUUUUAAUUAUUUGUAUCCAAAUCAUACCCGAUAUAUUUGAUUUAUCUUACAAUGUUUCAACAUAAUAGGAAAGUGCAAAUAAAAAUACCCCAUUACAAAUACCUUCCAAAAUUUAUUUAAAAUUCACAUAUAUAUAUAUAUAUAUAUAUAUAUAUAUAUAUAUGAAUUUUAAAUAUCAAUAAAAUUGUUGAUUCAUAAUAAUUUCACUUAGAAUUCAUAAAAAAAAUAUGAGGAAAAAAAAUUAAAAUAAAAAAUUUUAAGAUCCCUACCCUUCCCAUUUAAUUUUAACAAUUUUUUUUUCUGAGCAUUGAUUUGUUGAUCGGUUAUUAAGGGCCACUCAUUUGCUUUGUUGGAUCUAACUCUCUGUAUGCAUGCUCUGUUUUGGCUUUGUUUUUUUUUUUUUUUUUUUAUCUUUGCUUUCUCUUGUAAAUAUCUGAUGCAUUGUUCCUUCUCUGAACUUGAGAUAUAAAAAUCAUGCUCUUGUUCCUUGUGGAUUCCACCUUCUCCUAGCUCUUUGACAAUCCAUGAAAUAGAGCUAAGUUCAUACUUUAUUUUUAUGUUUUUAUUCUUUUUUGUUUGUUGUUGAUGGUGGGAUGAUAUUAUCAAUGGCCAAGUUGCUAGGAUUAGAGGAGUGAGGUUAUGGGGAAGUGAACUUAAUGGAGGAUUUCCGUGAUCAUAUCCAUGCUCCAAUAUAUUGGUUCCCAAUGUUGGCCACGGGACUGUAUUGAAGUUUUGGUAUUUGGGAUCACUUUGCCUUCUGGGUUCAGUAAGCAACACAGUGGCAAUAAAGAUGCUUUGGUGUUAUUAAUUUGGGUGAAUAAGUUGGUUGUAUGAAUUGUGAAAGUUCAGGUUGUGCUUUGAGGAGAGUAUAUCUUGCAUCCUACUAUUUUAAUUAUUAAUUUUGGAUGUUGAAAUAUGAUGUGAUUGCACUUCAUAUGCAUCAUAGUUGUGUGAAGAAAAAGAAAGAUUAAAGAACUGGUUGUGUGAAAUGGAAAUAAGAAUGGAAAAACCUUGGAGAUGGCAAAAAUGAAAAGAAAAGAAAAAAAAAAAAAAUGCAAUGACCCUAGAGAGAGCGAAUUAAGAAGGGAGUGAAAUCCCUAGGGUGAAAGACCCAAAAGUUUACUUCGGGAAGACUUCGAAUGAGGAGUAUAUUUAGGUACAGACGUGUAUCCUUUGGUGAAAGCCCGAGAAUGACAGUGCAUUGUGUGAUUGUGAGAUUGUGUGUAAGCAUUUGCAUCAUAAUUGCAUUUGGAAGAAGGAUUUGUAUUAUUUAUCAAGUGUAUAUUUGAAUAUAUUAUUCAAAACUAAAAUGACUUGUUUAUUUUGUAAAUUUAGAAUUGUUAAUAUACUAAACAUGAUUGAAUAAGGAAAAUGAUAAUUUUGAUUGUUUUAAAUUUGUAUGGUUAGGGUUUCUUUCAGUGUAUAUAUUGUAAAUGUAAUAUUAUAUCUUGGCAUAUGGUUGUGUUAUUGACCUAGAAUUUCUAACCUAUUUGGGUGUAAAACAUCCUACUGAGCAACGUGGAAAUGCUCACCCUUUUAUUUUUUAAAAUUUUUAGAUGUAAAUAUAGUUUUAGAGGGACCACAAAAAGUUCAAGAAGCGUUUUAGAAAGCAAAAGAACCAUAAUAAGAGUUGUUUUUAAAUUUAUAUUUCUCUUCUUAUACGUACCAAUUUGAGUUAUAUGGGCUUUUGUAUGUUAAAUUAUAUUUGUUAGGUUGUAAAAUAUUUUUGGAAAUAUCCUUUUUGAUUUAGAGAUUAUUGUAAAUAUUUGUGUUUUUGGGCAGGAAGAUGACUAAUGGAUUUAUUAUACUUGUGAAUAAGAGAUAAUGUGAUGGUUGGUUUUAAAAAAAUAAAAUAAUAUGUUAUAAUAAAUCUUAGUUUAAUAAGUUUAUUUAAGAUUACACGUUUUACUAUAAAAAAAAUAAAAAAUUUCAAAGUGUUUUGAUUGAUUGACAACGUAGAUAAGAAUUACCCGGAUCAAACUCUUGACCUGGGCCAACUAUGUUGGUGAAUACCCAAUUAUACCCACAUGAAUCAGCCGUCAAUCUUACAAAUCCAAGGGCAAAGUAGUCAUUCCAAUUCAAACCAAAAAAAGCCAUGAUUCAUGAAAACUGCUGGCCACAGCUCCUGGUUUUUGCCAAACUUUGGGCACCAAAUCCAAACCCAUCUCUUUGCUAUAUAACCAACCCACCUUCACUUCUUCAUCACAACACAACUACCUUGAUUUACAGAGAGAUCUUCUAUAUCCAUUCACUACUCAGAAUCACCUCUUUUUUUUGUUGAUUGUUGUUUGGGUUUUGGAGAAAGAAAAUUAAGAAGAUGAGUCAUAUGGGGAAAGCUUGGAUAGUGGCAGCAAGUGUGGGAGCAGUGGAGGCACUCAAGGAUCAGGGCUUCUGCAGAUGGAACUACACUCUGAGGUCUAUUCACCAGCAUGCCAAGACCAACCUCAGGUCCUUUACUCAGGCCAAGAAGCUCUCUUCUUCCUCUUCUGCCAUGGUUUCCAGUAGAGUGAGAGACGAGAAGGCCAAGCAGUCAGAGGAGUCUCUGAGGACUGUCAUGUACUUGAGCUGCUGGGGACCCAACUGAAGAAGAAGAUAUGAAGAUGGAUGAUCAUCAGCCUGCUCUUGAAGCAACCAGGGAGGGCAUAUUCCAAGAAACUUAUGGAAAAUUGAGAUGAAGAAACUGCAGUGAAGCAAUUUUCUUGGAAUUUUUGCUUGGAGACUCACGAAUUACAACCAAUUGCUCAGGGUUGGGAAAAUUGGAAUUGCUGUGAAUUGUGACUGGGUCUUUGUAAAACCCACAUCAUUUAGCUAGAAAAGCUUUGAAAAUACAUUUUUAUUUAAUUUAUAAUUUCUAUGUUAGAAUAUUAGACCUGAUUCCUAAAAAGCUUAUCAGCCUUGUAUUAGACCCAAGCUCAAGCGCAUUAAGAAAAAAUAUGGCAGAUUUUGUCAUAUAGGGGAUAAAGAGGUGAUAAAGUAGAUACAACUCCCAAAAUUAAACUCUCAAUUAAUUUAAUUGAACAAAUAAUCAUAAAAGAGAUUUUUUAAAUUUAUGAUUUUAUUUUUUAAUUUAUACUAUUUGAAAAAGAAAAUUUCAGUGAAAUAUGUUCGUGUAGACUGUGUGGUAGGGUGCAGACUAAACAAAGAAAUGGACACGUGCUUGAAAUCCGGCCCUACACAUUGGCCCUUUGGAAAACAGCGGUUUCAUCCUCCGUACUUUUUGGGCGUUAAGUGGGUUCACAAACCAAACAAUGGGCUGCUAACACUUACACUGAGGACAAGCUAUGUAGGUGAAUACCCAAUUAUAAUACCCACAUGAAUCAGUGGUCAAUCUUACAAAUCUAAGGACAAAGUAGUCAUUCCAAUUCAAACCAAACAAAGAUAUGAAAACUGCUGGCUACAGCCUCUGGUUUUCCCCAAAACUUUGGGCACCAAACCCAUACCCAUCUCUUGCUAUAUAACCAACCCACCUUCAGUUCAUCUUCCUCAUAACAACACAAAACACUUGAUUUAUAGAGAGAUCUUCAAUAUACCAUUCACUACUCAGAAUCAGUUCUUUUACUGUUGAUUUCUGUUUGAGUUUUGGAGAAAGAAAAUUAAGAAGAUGAGUUAUAUGGGGAAAGCUUGGAUAGUGACAGCGAGUGUGGGAGCAGUGGAGGCACUCAAGGACCAGGGCUUCUGCAGAUGGAACUAUGCUAUGAGGUCUAUUCACCAGCACGCCAGGAACAAGCUCAGGUCUUGUUCUCAGGCCCAGAAACUCUCUUCUUCCUCUUCCGCCAUGGCUUCUAGCAGAGUGAGAGAGGAGAAGGCCAAGCAGUCAGAGGAGUCUCUGAGGACUGUCAUGUACUUGAGCUGCUGGGGACCCAACUGAGGAAGAAGCUAUAUAUAUAUAUAUAUAUAUGAAGGUUUUGAUCGUCCUACUAGUGAUGAAGACAGUGGAGGGGAGAGAUUGAUUUCAUGGAAUUUUUGUACAAAGACAUAUACAUGAGGGUGGAAUUGCUGUAAAUUGUAUAGUUUAUUGACGAUGGCUCUAUGAAAUACAUACAUCAUAUAGUGUUUUUUUUCUCAAUAGCUGUUUUCAAUUCUCACAAUUGUUCUGCCGCUAAUUUUUUUUGAGGUAAUUUGCCCAAAGACAUCCUGAGGAUUUUUCAUUGAAAUUAUAUAUAAAAGAAAAAUAAAAGAAUAUGCAGAAAGGAUAAAUGCGGUGCAGGGAAAAAGCUGUUCCAUUUUUUCAUGUGAAUUUUCAUACAAUGCACUGAUCUCCUUCCCAAACUAUGGGCGUAAGCGGAUUUCCAAAAGAAAGAAGGUAAAACCGUGUGCCUCUUCCUCAACCCCAUUUGAUCUAAAUUCUAAUGCUUCCAAAAAAAGGAACAAACUGAAAUAAAAACAAAUUAUCUUUUGCCCAUCUUUUCAAUAACGCCAAACGCUACUAGAAAAUACCAUAACAGCUAAUACUGCCAGAGAGAAAACUAUCGGCUUCAUCUCCAAGGGGGCCCAAACCCCUGGUUUUCCCAAACUUUGUGCGCCUUCCCUUACCUUUAUAUAACUCCAUUUUUUCCACUGAGAAUCAUCAUUAUCGGUUAUGGAAGAUCAAAGAACGAAGAAAUUGAAGAUGGGUUAUGUGGCAGCAAGUGUGGGAUCAGUGGAGGCGUUGAAGGAUCAGGGGUUCUGCAGAUGGAACCAUUCCAUGAGGUCGAUUCAGCAGCAGGCUAAGAACAAUCCGAGGUCUUUUUCUCAGGCCAGGAAGGUCUCUUCUUCUUCAUCUUCUGCCAUGGGUUCAAGCGGAAAGAGAAAGCAGUCAGAGGAGUCCUUGAGGACUGUCAUGUAUUUGAGCUGUUGGGGUCCCAAUUGAACCCAGCUGAAGAAGAAGAAGAAGAAGAAGAAGAAGAAGAAGAAGUUGAAAUCUGAUUGUUGUAAAAUGAUGGAAAAUGUAUAUAUGUAGAAUAUGAGGGAAAUGAUCUAUCAAGUCCCAUAUUAUUUUGAGAAUUAUUGCUGUUUUGUUCACUUAAGUUGUUGCUUAAUCUUCCCUUGAGAGUGGAGACAUGCUCUUGAACUUCAUGAGAGAGUGAGAGUGAGAGAGAGAGUAUUCUUGUUUCUCUUCCUUAAAGAGGGGAGGUACUUUCCCCAUCUUCCAAACCAUUGUUUGUCCAAAGAGUGUGAAUAAUUAUAAAACUGUAAACACGAUUUAAAACUAAGGUGUUGUUUGUUUUUUGACUGAAUAGAAAAAGUUAAAUAUUUUGAUUUUUUCUAUUCAGUUAAAAGUAAUUUAUUGACAUCAAUAAUAUAAUUAAAUUAAACUUUUUGAUAAUAAGUUCACUUUAGUUAUAUUGAUUAGUAUCAAUAAGAUACUUUUAACUGAAUAGAAAAAGUCAAAAUAUUUGAUUUUUUCUAUUCAACUAAAAAACAAACACCACCUAAUUUUUUUUAAGGUGAAAAUGGACAAUGUUUACAAGGAUGAUGUGAAUAGUUAUAAAUAUUAUAAACAUCGAGUCUUUUUGGGAUCAAAACGAAUACUGUUUAUAAGGAUGAAUGUGAAUAGUUAUAAAUAUUGUAAAAUGUUUUAGAACUGAGUCUUUUUUAGGCUAAAACGGAUGAUGUUUGUAAAGAUGAAUGGAAAUAGUUACAAAAAUUGUAAACACGUUUCUUUUUAAGGUUAAAAUGGACAAUGUUUACCCAGAAGAAUGUGAACGGUUACAAAUAAUAACGUGGGGUUUUAUUAAUCAUAUAAGACAAAAUGAUAACCUUGUUUUUAUUUGAUGCAUUUGUAAUAACUCACAUCAAAUCAAAUAACGGAGAAAGUUACUAACACAAUAAAGAUUAGACUAAGGGCAUGUUUGGUUACUAUUUUUGAAAGUUAUUAUGAAAACAGGUUUUUGUGUUUUCAAAAAAAAAAAAAUAAAUAAAAUUUGGGAAUUGAAUUCUAACAGUUUUCAUCCUAAAAAAAAAAACAUGUUUAAUUGAGUUAAUAAAAAAGUUUUUUAAAAUAAAUAAAAUAAAAAACAUGUUUGAAAGUUAUUUAUUAUUUUAAUUAAUAAAGUGUUUUUUGCUGUUAACUUGAUAUUAUAAAUAUAUAAAUAAUUUUCAUAUAUACAAUUCAUUUAAAUUUAAAAAAAUUAUUCAAUUUUGAAAUUUUUACAUCCGUUAUAAUUUUCUUAAACAAAGAAUGACUUUAUCACCAUGUGUAAGUAUAUUAAUUUCAAUAAUUUAAGGAAGAAGAAAAGGUUUGGGGUGAGGGUGUGAUGGUUGGGUGAAACCCACCUUUGUAGAAACACAAAAAAUAAUCUAUUCUUUUAAUAAUGAAAAAACAAUCAAGACAUCUUUUUAUUGUUCUAAAAUAAAUGAUUUUUAAAAACAUAAAAAACAAAAACUCACCUCCUUCCCCAAAUAAGUUUUUUGUGUUUUUUAUUCUUGUAAAUAUUGUCCAUUUUAUAACAAGCUCUAACCCAUUAACAAUUGUGUCAAACCGAGUCUUCUUAUUGGGGAAAACAGUGGGAUGAAUUUAUCAUGGCGAAAAAUGGGGAGAAAGAAAGAAACCGAACCUAACUUUAUCCUCAUUCUGGGAUGAUGAGAGACAGAAGUUCCUUGGUAUUAAACCACAGCGUCAGUGAUACAAGCUUGGACUCUGGUUUCAUCACCUCCUAGCUCCCACCCUAUCUCCCUCUCUCUCUCUCGAAAAUAAUUUUCCCCUCUACCUUUCCUAAUUGAAUAUAUGCUAACAUCAUCUUGAUUAAAGGCACAUAUUCAUAGGAGAAAAUCUCAGUAAAAAAUUUUAUUUAUAAGAAUCAAAGAACAUCAAAAACUUUCCAACAAUCUUAUAUUUUUAAUCUAUCAAGCAAUUCUCAUUUGCUUAAAAUUAUCAUCCUUCUCUUUCGUAUGCCCAAGUCACAUAUGCUAUAAUUUGGUAGUGUUUGAAAUUGAUUAAGGUUAAAAUUGUAAUUAUGUUUGUAACCAUGCUAUCUUAUGGUGCAUAAAGAUGAUCAAUUUUCUAUCUUUUCUUCAUAAAAGAAGCAUUUUUUUUUUAACAUUUUCGUAACUUCACUUUCAACUUUAUAUAUACAUGCAUUGGAGUUAGCUACAUCCAAAGAAAUCAGAUUUCUCUUUAGUUCUAAAACAUGUAUUAUAUCAUUUAAUAUUUUUAUAAUAUCAUCAUGUAUUUUAAUUCCAAAAAUGUUUAUCCUAAAAAUCUUCCCACCUUCUAUAAGUUGGGAGGUACCAAACCAUUUCUUAUUAGGAGACAUAUGAUUAUGAAAGGAGGAUUGUGAAUCAUAGAUUCAUUCAUCUUCUAAGUUACUAAUAAUAAUUGAAAUAACAUUUGUAUGCAAUAUUUAAAAUUUUCUCUUCAACUAUCACGUUAUAAGAAGUAGAAGUUUUUUUUUUUUUCUUUAAUUUCCUUUAUGUUUCGGACAAUUUCUCUCAUAGUGUUAUUCUUUAUUGUAAUUGAAACACUUGUUUAUUUCUUUUGGACUUUGAUUUAAAUUUGGAAUGACCUUUCUUGCUCCCUCUCUAGUUACCAAACCUCUAUCUAAGCUUUCUUAUCUACUCUUAGACAUUUUUUUUUCUUCAAUUCCUUUGAGUUUAAAGUUGCUCUAACAUUUUUUAUGGAUAGAAUAUCUCCAUCAUACAUCAUAACAUUCACAAAGUGCUUGUAAAAAUUUGCUAACGAACUUGUCAAAAUUAUAGUUUGAUUUAUAUCGCCAAUUCUAUUAUCAAUAUUCUUUUAAUUUAUAAUAGUUUUAUUAACUUCGUCUAGAUGGUUUUUAAUUGAUGUACAUUCUUUCAUUUAUAGAGUAAGUAAUGAUUUUUUAUAUACAAGUGAUUUGUAAAACACUUUAUCAUACAUAGACUUUCUAAUUUCGACUAUAAUUUGGAAAUUAUAUCAUUUUCUAUAAUUUCAAAAACGUAUCUCAUUACCCAAGUUCAAUAAAAUAACAUUGUCUCUUUCUUUGUAAGUUUAUGAUUUUCUUUAUUAUACAUUGUUAUUGGUUGAGUCAUUUUACCUUCUAAUGCAUUGGACAAUUUUUAUUAAAUUAACAAGACACACAUCUUAACAAACUACAAAUUAAAAUUAUUUCUUUCAUCAAAAUUUUCAAUUUUAAAUUUUAUCUUUCAGGUCUAACAACCUUAGCUUUGAUAAUAAUUUAUUAUUAAAAAAAUCAUGGUAAAGAACAUUUGCAUGCAACAUCUAAAUUUUCUUUUAUAGUCAUCACAUCACGAAGCUGUUUCUUUUAUCUUUAAUGUCAACCUAAAUUAGAAUGGAAACAAAUGUUUGUUUAUAUAUAUAUAUAUAUAUAAUGCAUAAAGGAAUGCUUAGAAUAUCAUUUAUAAUGAGAUUAUGAAUGAAUUGGGUACCUAAUAUCUUAGGUGGAUCAUCUAUUCUAACAAGAUUAAUUUCUUGAUCACAAAGAGUGAUGUUUUCAACAGGAUUAGCAAAUUCAAAAAGAAUUUCCUUAUCAAAAAGCUUUGUUCUUAUACCUUGGUUAUCUACCCAUAAGGGAUAAAUAGAACUUAAGAAGGGUAUUCCUAGGAGAGCUUUCUCCUUAAGAUCCUUAAAUAGCCAAAAAGACGGGACAAAACACUGUUUGCUUUUUGACUAACUGUCAUGAAUAGUAAUCUCGUGCAUGAAUACUGAAUAGUGAAUAGUAAAAUUCACUUUUCCAUCGAAUUCCACCGAAAAACCCACUUUCUGUUGAGAAGACUUCUGACAGGCUGUUUUAGACUGUGUAGUCACAUGCUUGUUGCUUUUGGUGCUGAAACUGCAAAGCUUGUAAAAUAUUUUUGAUGUAAGACAUGAGGCUGAUGAUUACUUAGAUCUUCUUAUUGGAGGAAGGAUUCCUUCACAGUCGUCACCAUUGUCUGGAAGCUAGCUUGUUAAAUCAUUAGAUUCUGCAUUUCUAUAAUUAAAUCCAAGAUGCUAUGAUGUUGAAUAUCAUAAAAGCUUUUCGGAUUUUUUUUGUUAAACAUCAAUUAGUUUAAGGGAGAAUUACCGAAUAAGGUAGGCUGUAAAAAAUAAUGACUAUGAAGGCUCACUCUUUUAGAGGACAAUUUUACCCUUUAAUAUGUUUUCUAUAUUAUUUAUAAAUAAAUUGAGAUUGUCAAUGAUGUGGGGCCCAUACGUGAUGAUAAGUACUGGUUGAUAGGCAAUCAAUGGUACAUUUCUCAGCUUGAAAAAAUUGUUGUCACUUUUGAACAAUCAAAUGACUAUUUAAAAAUUUACUAUUUUUUUUUUCAAAAAAAUUGAGAUUUUUCAAAGAACCUUAUAAAAAAAUAAUUUUUAAUAUCUCAUAAAUAAAAACCAUAUCCUAAAGUUAUUAUAUCGUUUUAUAUAUAAAACAUACAAUUAAAAACUUUGUUAUCGUAAUAUAAUGAAUAAUUAUUUUUUACAAGCACUUGUCAAUUGAAUAAUAUAGAAAUAUUCAAUUGACUAAUACAGACCUAUUAAAUGGAAUAACUCACAAUUAUUCAUUGGGUAAUAUAGCACGUGAAAAAAUUAAAUAAAAAUAAAUUAAAUUAUGUUGUAAUAUAUUGUAAUGAUAGUGUAUUUAUAUUGUAAGUAAAAUGCAUUUAUGUCGUACCUUUAUUUCAUUACAAAAGUAAUAAUUCUAAAUAUGUUUAUUCAUACCCUAUUGGUAUUAACACAUCGUAUCAAUAUGUUAACAAUAUUUAUUUAGUGUUUUGAAAUUAUUUAAUAAUUUUUGUAUAUAUAUAUAUAUAUAUAUAUAUAUGAUACCAACAACACCCAGGACAAGGUCAUAUGCAAUGAAAACAGGAAUUAUGUUAUGAUUCAAAACAAAGAAGAGGGUUAGAAGCCAAACAAGAUAAAUAACCAAAGAAAUUUAAAAAGAGAAGGAACCACAAACUUUUUAGUUCAUAAAUAUAAAACCAUCCAUGAUA